UUUUUUGCAAUUUAUUUACUUAAUUUUGUUAUGCUUGAUACUGUAGCCAACCACAGUUGAUGAAGUUAUGUUCAACAAGAAUUUUGUGGAGGAUGAAGUGGUUUCCCUUUCAAAGGAUAAUCUUUUAAAUAAAAUAAAAAACUAAUAAAACACUCAAAACAUGUGAUAUUCCUGUUUAAUAUCCAUUUUUUGAAAUGAUUUGUUUGAUAAGAAGGGUGUAGUACCUGAUUUGAAGAAUCAAAUACUGCAGUUGCAAAAGGAAAAUCAAAUUAUUAUGAUGAAGGUCCCAAAGUGAACUCUAUUAAUUUUUGCGUAUUUUUCAGGUCUUCAAUUUUUAUUUUAGCAUUUGUUUCUAUUUUGAACUGUUUAGUUAUUUUGGAAUAUUUCUUUUUUUUACAUAAUGAUGAACUUGAGGCUCUUGUGUAGAAGAAUCAUUGGAUUGAGUAAAGUUUUUUAUUUUAUUUUUUAUUAUGGUUGUAUAUUGAUAUUGAUUGAGUAAAGUUUUUUGUUGUGUUUUUCGUAUAUUUAAUUAAAAUGUGUUAUACAAUUCUUUACACACAUGGAAUGUAGAAUAACUAAUUUUAAUAAUAAAAUAAGAGAUUUUGACAAACAGAAAUUUAUCCAAUAAAAUUAACUAACUCAAGAUAAGUAACUACCCAUAACCGAAUUUAACUAACUGAAAUCUGCUAAAAAACAAACAAACCAUCUCAAUUGUUUAUCUAUAAGUAUUGGCUUCAGAACUUGUUAUUCUGAAUUCUCAUUUCUAUACCCUUUUACGGUAUUUUCUUUUCUUUAUCUUGCACACAUAGUGUAAUUUGCUUGGCUAACCAAGUAAUUCUUGGAAUGAAUGCCAUAAAACUUGAAUCUACUAAGCCACAUUUGACUAAUGAAGAAGAUUCGGGGAUGAAUGGAAUAAAACUUGAAUCUAUUGAACUUGGAAAAGAAAUGGAAGAGGUAAAUCAAUUUAAUCUUUUUUUAAAUACGGUGUUUAGUUUUUUGCUAUAAUUAUAUUUCCUUAAUUUUGAAUUUGUCUUUUGAUUUGUUAGAGUAUUGUUCUUGAUCGUUUGAGUGGGACGAAAAACAUAUUCACUAAAUUUCUUGAGAUUCCAAAAGGAGAUGAUGAAGUAGUCUUUUAAUUAUGCUUUUGAGUUUUAUAUUAUUCUUGAGAUUCCAAAAGGAGAUGAUGAAGUAGUCUUUUAAUUAUGCUUUUGAGUUUUAUAUUAAUUUUUUUGUAAUUUAUUUACUUAAUUUUGUUAUAUUUGAUAUUGUAGCCAACCAUUGUUGAUCAUGUUACCCUGAACAAAGAAUUUUGUGUAGGAUGAAGUAGUUUAUCUUCCAAGGGUUAAGGAAAAUUUAUUUUAUUAACUUUUGAAUAUUUUGUGAGUGUUGUUGUGAUAUUUCUGUGUAAUUUCCUUUUAUUUAGAUGAUUUGUUUGAUUUUGAGGCACAUUUGGCUACUGAAAAAGUUUCGGGGAUGAAUGGAAAACUACUUGAAUCUCCUGAGGUUGGAAAAGAAAUGGAAAAAGUAAAUCAAUUUAAUUUUUUUUAAUAUUGUGCUAAUUUUUUUCUAUAAUUCUUUUUCCUUCAUUUUGAAUUUGUUUUUUGAAUUGUUAGAGUAUUGUUCUUGAUCAUUGGAUUGGGACGAAGAACAUAUUCACCGAAUUUAUUUGUUUUUUGAAUUGUUAGAGUAUUGUUCUUGAUCAUUGGAUUGGGACGAAGAACAUAUUCACCGAAUUUCUUGAGAUUUCAAAAGGAGAUGAUGAAGUAGUCUUUUAAUUAUGCUUUUGAUUUUUUUAUUAAUUUUUUUGUAAUUUAUUUACUUAAUUUUGUUAUAUUUGAUAUUGUAGCCAACCAUUGUUGAUCAUGUUAUCUUGAAAAAAAAAUUUGUAGAGGAUGAAGUGGUUUCCCUUCCAAGGGUUAUGGAAAACUUAUUUUAUUAACUUUGUAAUAUUUUGUGAGUGUUGUUGUGAUAUUUUUGUUUAAUUUUCUUUUUUUUAAUUUAUUUUUUGAUAAACAGGGUGUAGUAGUGGAUUUGAAGAAUCCAAUAUUGCGGUUGCAAAAGGAAAGUUUUUUUGCAUUUUAUUUUGCAUUUUGGGUGUAUAUUGAUAUUAAUUGAGUAAAGUUUUUUUGUUUUUUUUGUGUUGUAUGUGUCUUUAAUGAUAAUGUGCUAUAUCAUUCCUUAAACACAAAAAAUGUAGAAUAACGUAUUUUGACAAUAAAAUAACAGAUUUUGACAAACUGAAGUUUGGCCAAAAAAUUAACUGACUCAAGAUAAGUAAUUGCCCAUAACGGAAUUUAACUAAUUAAAAUUUGAUUAAAAAACUAACAAACUAACUUAAUUGUUUAUCUAUUAGUAUUGGCUUCAUAACUUGUUAUUCUAAAUUCACAUUUCUAGACCUUUUUACUGUAUUUUCUUUUCUUCAUCUUGCACACACAAUGUAAUUUGCUUGCCUAACAAAGUAGUUCUUAGAAUGAAUACCAGAAAACUUGAAUCUACUGAGCCACAUUUGGCUACUGAAGAAGUUUUGGGGAUGAAUGGAACAAAACAUGAAUCUGUUGAUAUUGGAAAAGAAAUGUAAAAGGUAAAUCAAUUUAAUCUUGGUUUUAAUAUGGUGUUUAGUUUUUUGCUAUAAUUCUUUUUCAUUACAUUUGCAUUUGUUUUUUGAUUUGUUAGAGUAUUGUUCUUGAUCGUUGGAGUGGGACGAAGAACAUAUUCACCGAAUUUCUUGAGAUUUCAAAAGGAGCUGAUAAAGUAGUCUUUUAGUUCUGCUUUUGAUUUUUAUAUUAAUUUAUUUUCAAUUUAUUUACUUAAUUUUUUUAUGUUUCAUAUUGUAGUCGUCCAUUGUUGAUCAAGUUAUCCUGAACAAGAAUUCUGUGCAGAAUGAAGUGGUUUCCCUUCCAAAGGUUAAUGACAAAUUAUUUUAUUAACUUUUGAUUAUUUUGUGUGUUUUUUUUAUGUGUAUUAAUUAACUUAGUGUGUAUGUGGGAUUAGUUUAAUUUAAUUGAACUAAUUAUAGAUAUUUAAAUAUUAGGUCUUAUUGGGCCUAUUAAUUAAAUUAGAAGUAUAAUGAGUUAAGCCCAAAUAGAAUACUAGUAUAUAAGAGGAGAAGAGUGAGAAUUAGGAUUCACUUGAUCAUUUGACAACAAUAGAGAAAGAGAAGAGGAAAAGUGAGGAGAAGAAGUGAAGAACAAGAGAGGAGCUAGGGUUUCCAGAAAAUUGAAGAGGUAAGGGGGGAAUCCUUAUUAUUAUGGGUUAGUAUGAUUGAGUCAAUGGGUAGAUGUAUGUUUAGGUUAAAAUCCCUAAUUUUGUAUGGUUGUUUGGAAAUUUUGUAGAGGAUGAAGUGGUUUCCCUUCCAAGGGUUAUGGAAAACUUAUUUUAUUAACUUUGUAAUAUUUUGUGAGUGUUGUUGUGAUAUUUUUGUUUAAUUUCCUUUUUUUUAAUUUAUUUUUUUUGAUAAACAGGGUGUAGUAGUUGAUUUGAAGAAUCCAAUAUUGCGGUUGCAAAAGGAAAGUUUUUUUGCAUUUUAUUUUGCAUUUUGGGUGUAUAUUGAUAUUAAUUGAGUAAAGUUUUUUUGAUUUUUUUGUGUUGUAUGUGUGUUUAAUGAUAAUGUGCUAUAUCAUUCCUUAAACACAAAGAAUGUAGAAUAACAUAUUUUGACAAUAAAAUGAUAGAUUUUGACAAACUGAAGUUUAGCCAAAAAAUUAACUGACUCAAGAUAAGUAAUUGCCCAUAAUGGAAUUUAACUAAUUAAAAUUUGAUUAAAAAACUAACAAACUAACUUAAUUGUUUAUCUAUUAGUAUUGGCUUCAGAACUUGUUAUUCUAAAUUCACAUUUCUAGACCUUUUUACUGUAUUUUCUUUUCUUCAUCUUGCACACACAAUGUAAUUUGCUUGCCUAACAAAGUAGGUAUUAGAAUGAAUACCAGAAAACUUGAAUCUACUGAGCCACAUUUGGCUACCAAAGAAGUUUUGGGGAUGAAUGGAACAAAACAUGAAUCUGUUGAUAUUGGAAAAGAAAUGUAAAAGGUAAAUCAAUUUAAUCUUGGUUUUAAUAUGGUGUUUAGUUUUUUGCUAUAAUUCUUUUUCAUUACAUUUGAAUUUGUUUUUUGAUUUGUUAGAGCAUUGUUCUUGAUCGUUGGAGUGGGACGAAGAACAUAUUCACCGAAUUUCUUGAGAUUUCAAAAGGAGCUGAUAAAGUAGUCUUUUAGUUCUGCUUUUGAUUUUUAUAUUAAUUUAUUUUCAAUUUAUUUACUUAAUUUUUAUAUGAUUCAUAUUGUAGUCGACCAUUGUUGAUCAAGUUAUCUUGAACAAGAAUUUUGUGCUGGAUGAAGUGGUUUCCCUUCCAAAGGUUAAUGAAAAAUUAUUUUAUUAACUUUUGAUUAUUUUGUGUGUUUUUAUGUGAUAUUUUUGUUUAAUACUCUUUUACUGUAUUUUCUUUUCUUCAUAUUGUACACACAAUGUAAUUUGCUUGGUUAACCAAGUAGUUCUUAGAAUGAAUACCAGAAAACUUGAAUCUACUUAGCCAUAUUUGGCUACAGAAGAAGUUUUGGGGAUGAAUGGAACAAAACUUGAAUCUUUUUCUAUUUUGAACUGUUUAGUUAUUUUGGAAUAUUUCUUUUUUUUACAUAAUGAUGAACUUGAGGCUCUUGUGUAGAAGAAUCAUUGGAUUGAGUAAAGUUUUUUAUUUUAUUUUUUAUUAUGGUUGUAUAUUGAUAUUGAUUGAGUAAAGUUUUUUGUUGUGUUUUUUCGUAUAUUUAAUUAAAAUGUGUUUAUACAAUUCUUUACACACAUGGAAUGUAGAAUAACUAUUUAAUAAUAAAAUAAGAGAUUUUGACAAACAGAAAUUUAUCCAAUAAAAUUACUAACUCAAGAUAAGUAACUACCCUAAACCGAAUUUAACUAACUGAAAUCUGCUAAAAAACAAAAAAAAACCAUCUCAAUUGUUUAUCUAUAAGUAUUGGUUCAGAACUUGUAUUCUGAAUUUCUCAUUUCUAUACCCUUUUUACGUAUUUUCUUUUCUUUAUCUUGCACACAUAGUGUAAUUUGCUUGGCUAACCAAUAAUUCUUGGAAUGAAUGCCAUAAAACUUGAAUCUACUAAGCCACAUUUGACUAAUGAAGAAGAUUCGGGGAUGAAUGGAAUAAAACUUGAAUCUAUUGAACUUGGAAAGAAAUGGAAGAGGUAAAUCAAUUUAAUCUUUUUUUAAAUACGGUGUUUAGUUUUGUUGCUAUAAUUAUAUUUCCUUAAUUUUGAAUUUGUCUUUUGAUUUGUUAGAGUAUUGUUCUGAUCGUUUGAGUGGGACGAAAAACAUAUUCACUAAAUUUCUUGAGAUUCCAAAAGGAGAUGAUGAAGUAGUCUUUUUAAUUAUGCUUUGAGUUUUAUUUUAUUAAUUUUUUUGUAAUUUAUUUACUUAAUUUUGUUAAUUUUGAUAUUGUGAGCCAACCAUUGUUGAUAAUGUUAUCCUGAACAAAGAAUUUUGUGCAGGAUGAAGUAGUUUAUCUUCCAAGGGUUAAGGAAAAUUUAUUUUAUUAACUUUUGAAUAUUUGUAGUGUUGUUGUGAUAUUUCUGUGUAAUUUCCUUUUUUUAGAGAUUUGUUUGAUAUUGAGGCACAUUUGGCUACUGAAAAAGUUUCGGGGAUGAAUGGAAAACUACUUGAAUCUCCUGAGGUUGGAAAAGAAAUGGAAAAAGUAAAUCAAUUUAAUAUUUUUUUAAUAUUGUGCUAAUUUUUUCUAUAAUUCUUUUUCCUUCAUUUUGAAUUUGUUUUUUGAAUUGUUAGAGUAUUGUUCUGAUCAUUGGAUUGGGACGAAGAACAUAUUCACCGAAUUUUCUGAGAUUUCAAAAGGAGAUGAUGAAGUAGUCUUUUUAAUUAUGCUUUUGAUUUUUAUAUUAUUUUUUGUAAUUUAUUUACUUAAUUUGUUAUAUUUGAUAUUGUAGCCAACCAUUGUUGAUCAUGUUAUCUUGAACAAAGAAUUUUGUAGAGGAUGAAGUGGUUUCCUUCCAAGGGUUAUGGAAAACUUAUUUUAUUAACUUUGUCAUAUUUGUGAGUGUUGUUGUGAUAUUUUUGUUUAAUUUCCUUUUUUUAAUUUAUUUUUUUUGAUAAACAGGGUGUAGUAGUUGAUUUGAAGAAUCCAAUAUUGCGGUUGCAAAAGGAAAGUUUUUUUGCAUUUUAUUUUGAUUUGGGUGUAUAUUGAUAUUUAAUUGAGUAAAGUUUUUUUGAUUUUUUUGUGUUGUAUGUGUGUUUAAUGAUAAUGUGCUAUAUCAUUCCUGAAACACCAAAGAAUGUAGAAUAAACAUUUUUGACAAUAAAAUGAUAGAUUGACAAACGAAGUUUAGCCAAAAAUAACUGACUCCAAGAUAAGUAAUUGCCCAUAAUGGAAUUUAACUAAUUAAAAUUUGAUUAAAAACUAACAAACUAACUUAAUUGUUUAUCUAUUAGUAUUGGCUUCAGAACUUGUUAUUCUAAAUUCACAUUUCUAGACCUUUUUUACUGUAUUUUCUUUUCUUCAUCUUGCACACACAAUGUAAUUUGCUUGCCUAACAAAGUAGGUAUUAGAAUGAAUACCAGAAAACUUGAAUCUACUGAGCCACAUUUGGCUACCAAAGAAGUUUGGGGAUGAAUGGACAAAAACAUGAAUCUGUUUGAUAUUGGAAAAGAAAUGUAAAAGGUAAAUCAAUUUAAUCUUGGUUUUAAUGGGGUUUAGUUUUUGCUAUAAUUCUUUUUCAUUACAUUUGAAUUUGUUUUUGAUUUGUUAGAGCAUUGUUCUGAUCGUUGGAGUGGGACGAAGAACAUAUUCACCGAAUUUCUUGAGAUUCAAAGGAGCUGAUAAAGUAGUCUUUUAGUUCUGCUUUUUGAUUUUUAUAUUAAUUUAUUUUCAAUUUAUUUUACUUAAUUUUUAUAUGAUUCAUAUUGUAGUCGACCAUUGUUGAUCAAGUUAUCUUGAACAAGAAUUUUGUGCUGGAUGAAUGUUUUCCCUUCCAAGGUUAAUGAAAAAUUAUUUUAUUAACUUUGAUUAUUUUGUGUGUUUUUAUGUGAUAUUUUUGUUUAAUACUCUUUUACUGUAUUUUCUUUCUUCAUAUUGUACACACAAUGUAAUUUGCUUGGUUAACCAAGAGUUCUUAGAAGAAUACCAGAAAACUUGAAUCUACUAGCCAUAUUUGGCUACAGAAGAAGUUUGGGAUGAAUGGAACAAAACUUGAAUCUUAUGAGCUGGAAAAGAAAUGGAAAAGUUAAAUCAAUUUAAUCUUUUUAAUAUGGUGUUUAGUUUUUGCUUUAAUUAUUUUCCUUAAUUUUGAAUUUGUUUUUGAUUUGUUAGAGUAUUGUUUUUAAUCGUUGUAGUGGACGAAGAACAUAUCACCGAAUUUCUUGAGAUUUCAAAACGAGCUGAUGGAAGUAGGCUUUUAAUUCACUUUUGAUUUUUAUAUUAACUUUUUUCAAUUUAUUUACUAUUUUGUUAUGUUUGAUAUUGUAGCCAACGCAUUGCUUAUCAAGUUNNNNNNNNNNNNNNNNNNNNNNNNNAGGAAUUUUUGGGGAAUGAAUGGAACACAAACUUGAAUCUUAUGAGCUUGGAAAAGAAAUGGAAAAGUUGAAAUCAAUUUAAUCUCUUUUUAAUAUGGUGUUUAGUUUUUUGCUUUAAUAUAUUUUUCCUUUAAUUUGAAUUUGUUUUGAUUUGUUAGGUAUUGUUUUUAAUCGUGUUAGUGGACGAAGAACAUAUCACCGAAUUUCUUGAGAUUUCAAAACGAGCUUGAUGAAGUAGUCUUUCUAAUUCUACUUUUGAUUUUUAUAUUAACUUUUUUUAUUUAUUUACUUAAUUUUGUUAUUGUUUGAUAUUGUAGCCAACCAUUGCUUAUCAAGUUAUCCUGAACAAGAAUUUUGUGGAGAAUUUUGUGAGUUUUGUUGUGAUAUUUCUGUUAAUUUCCUUUUUUUGAAAUCGAUUUGUUUGAUUAGCAGGUUGUAGUAGCCGUAUUGAAGAAUCAAAUACUAGGGUUGCCAAUGGAAAAUCUACUUCUUAAGAUCAACGUCCAAAACUGAACUCUAUUAGCAGGGUGAAAUGAUUUGUUUAUUGCAGGGUGUAGUAGCCGGUUGAAGAAUCAAAUACUGCGGUUGCUAACGAAAAUCUAAUUCUUAAGAUGAAGGUCCAAAACUGAACUCUAUUUCUUUCUGCGUAUUUUUCAUGUCUUCAAUUUUUAUUUUAGCAUUUUUUAUUUUUUGAACUAUUUGUAGUUAUUUUGGAAUAUUUUCUUUACAUAAUGAUGAACUUGAGGCUCUUUCGUAGAAGAAUCAUUGGAUUGAGUAAAGUUUUUUUUAUUUUAUUUUUUCAUUGUGGUUGUUAUUGAUAUUGAUUGAGUAAUUUUUAUUUUUGCAUUGUAUGUAUGUUUUAUAUUGUAGCCGACCAUUGUUGAUUAAGUUAUAUUGAACAAGAAUUUUGUGAGGAUUAAGUGGUUUCCCUUCAAAGGUUAACGAAAAUUUAUUUUUAUUAACUUAGAUUAUUUUGUUAGUUUUUUAUGAUAUUUUUGUUUAAUUUCUUGAAUUUUGAAAUGAUUUGGUUUGUUAAGUAGGGUAGUAGUUUGAUUUGAAGAAUCAAAUACUGCGGUUGCAAAAGGAAAAUCAAAUCUUAAGAUGAAGGUCAAAAGUGAACUCUAUAAGUUUCUACGUAAUUUUCAUGUCUUCAAUUUUUAUUUUAACAUUACUUUAUUUUGAACUGUUUUAUAGUUAUUUUGAAAUAUUUCUUUUUUUUUUUUACAUAAUGAUGAACUUGAGGCUCUUCCUUAGAAGAAUCAUUGGGUUGAGUAAAGUUUUUAUUUUAUAGUUUCAUUGUGGUGGAUAUUGAUAAUUAUUUUAGUAAUUUCUUUUUUGUUGUUUGUAUAUUUAAUUAAAAUUGUGUUUUACCAUUCCUUACACUCAAGGGAAUGUAGUAUAAAUAUUUUAAUUAUAAAAUACAGAACUUGCUAACUCAAUUGUUAUAUUUAAGUAUUGGCUUCAGAACUUGAUAUUCUUGAUUCUCAUUUUCUAGACCCUUUUAUGAAUUUUCUUUUCUUCAUUUUGCACGCACAGUGUAACAAGCUUGGCUAACGAAGUAGUUCUUUGAAUGAAUACCAGAAAAGUUGAAUGUACUGAGCCACAUUUUGUCAAUUGAAAGAAGUUUUGGGGCAUGAAUGGAACAAACUAAAAUCUGUUGACCUUAGAAACGAAAUGGAAAAGGUAAAAAAAUUCUUAAUCUUUUUAAUAUGGUGUUUUAGUUUUUUGUUAUAAUUUUUUCCUUAUUUUGAAUUUGUUUUUUGAUUUGUUAGAGUUUGUUCUUGAUCGCUUGAGUGGGGUGAAAAACAUAUUCACCGAAUUCUUGAGAUUUCAAAAGGAGAUGAUGAAGUAGUCUUUUUAUUACGGCUUUGGUUUUUAUAUUAAUUUUUUGCAAUUUAUUUACUUAAUUUGUUAUAUUUGAUAUUGUAGCCAACCAUUACUGAUCAAGUUAUCCCCGAAUAAAGAAUUUUGUGGAGGAUGAAGUUUUUCCCUUCCAAGGGUUAUGGAAAAUUGAUUUUAUUAACUUUUGAAUAUUUUUGUGAGUUUUGUUGUGUUAUUUUUUUGUUUAAUUUCCUUUGUUUUGAAAUGAUUUGUUGGAUAACCAGGGUGUAGUAGCUGAUUUGAGAUUCAAAUAUUGCGGUUGCAAAAGGGAAUCCAAUUCUUAAGAUGAAGGUCCAAAAGUGAACUUUUUAAUUUUUGUGUAUUUUUCUUGUCUUCAAUUUUUUAUUUUAGAAUUUACUAUUUUUUUUUAAAUGAUUUGUUUGAUAAGAAGGGUGUGCUAGCUGAUUUGAAGAAUUAAAUAUUGUGGUUGCAAAAGGAAAAUCAAAUUCUUAAGAUGAAUGUCCAAAGUGACUCUAUUAAUUUUGCGUAUUUUUCAUGUCUUUCAAUUUUUAUUUUAGCAUUUACUAUUGUUUUGAACGGUUUAUUUUUUCCAAAUACUUUCCUUUUUUUUACAUAAUGAUGAACUUGAGGCUCUUCCCUAGAAGAAUCAUUGGAUUGAGUAAAGUUUUUUAUUUUAUUUUUCAUUGUGGUUGUAUAUCGAUAUUGAUUAGUAAAGUUUUUUGUUGUUGUUGUUUUUGUAUUUAAUUAAAAUGUGCUAUACCAUUCCUUACACAUAAGAAUGUAGACUAAUUUAUUUCAUAAUAAUAAUAACAGAUCUUGACAACUGGAAUUUAUCAAUAAAAUUAACUAUACUCAAGAUAAGUAGCUGCCCAUAACCGAUUUAACUAACUGAAAUCAGAUAAAAAACUAACAACUAACUCAAUUGUUUAUAUAGGUAUUGGCUUCAGAACUUGUUAAUCUAGAUUUUCUCAUUUCUAUACCCUUUUACUGAAUUUUCUUUUCUUCAUCUUGCAUGCACAGUGUAUCUCGCUUGGCUAACGAAGGUAGUUCUUGGAAUGAAUAAUAGAAAGUUGAAUGUACUGAGCAACUUGCUAUUGAAGAAGUUUUGGGGAUGAAUGGACCAAAACUUGAAUCUGUUGACCUUUAGAAACGAAAUGGAAAAGGUAAAUAAAUUUAAUAUUUUUUUUAUGGUGUUUAGUUUUUUGUUUAUAAUUCUUUUCCUUAAUUUUGAAUUUUGUUUUUGAUUUGUUAGAGUAUGUUCUUGAUCGAUUGAGUGGGGUAAAAAACUAUUCACCGAAAUUUCUUUGAAAUUUCAAAAAGAGAUGAUGAAGUAGUCUUUUAAUUACACUUUUGGUUUUUUAUAUUAAUUUGACUGCAUUUAUUUACUUAAUUUGUUAUAUUUGAUAUUGUAGCCUACUAUUGUAGAUCAAGUUAUCCUGAAUAACGAAUUUUGUGGAGGAUGAAGUAGUUUCCCUUCCAAGGGUUAUGGAAAAUUUAUUUUAUUAACUUUUGAAUAUUUUGUGAGUUUUGUUGUGUUAUUUCUGUUUAAUGUUUUGAAAAUGAUUUGUUUGAUAACCAAGGUGUAGUAGCUGAUUUGAAGAAUCAAAUAUUGCUGUUGCAAAGGAAAAUCAAAUUCUUAAGAUGAAGGUCACAAAAGUGAACUCUAUUAAUUUUUGCGUAUUUUUCAUCUGUCUUCAUUUUUAUUUUAGCAUUUACUUUUUUUUUUUGAAAUGAUUUGUUUGUUAAGAAGGUGUGCUAGCUGAUUUGAAGAAUUAAAUAUUGCGGUUGCAAAAGGAAAAUCAAAUUCUUAAUAUGAAUGUCCAAAAGUGAACUCUAUUAAUUUAUGCGUAUUUUUCAUGUCUUCAAUUUGAAUUUUAGCAUUUAUUAUUUGUUUUGAACGGUUUUAUUUAUUUUCAAAUAUUUCCUUUUUUUACAUAUGAUAAACUUGAGGCUCUUCCCUAGAAGAAUCAUUGGAUUGAGUAAAUUUUUAUUUUAUUUUUCAUCGUGGUUGUAUAUCGAUAUUGAUUUAGAGAGUUUUUUGUUGUUGUUUGUUUUGUAUUUAAUUAAACGUGCUAUACCAUUCCUUACACACAAGGAAUGUAGACUAAAUUAUUUCAAUUAAUAAAAUAACAGAUUUUAACCAACUGAAUUUAUCCAUAAAAUUACUAAUCAAGAUUAGUACUUGCCAUAACCGAAUUUAACUAACUGAAAUCAGAUAAAAAACUAACAAACUAAACUCAAUUGUUUAUAUAUACGUAUUUGCUUCUGAACUUGUUAAUCUAGAUUCUCAUUCUAGACCCUUUUACUGAAAUUCUUUUCUUCACUUGCACGCACAGUAACUCGCUUGGCUAACGAGUAGUUCUCUGGAAUGAAUACUAGAAAGUUGAAUGUACUGAGCACAUUUGGCUAUUUGAAGAAGUUUUGGGGAUGAAUGGAACAAAACUUAAAUCUGUUAACCUUAGAGCGAAAUGAAAAGUAAAUAAAUUUAAUCUUUUUUAAUAUGGUGUUUAGUUUUUGUUAUAAUUCUUUUUCUUAAUUUUAAAUUUGUUUUUGGAUUUGUUAGAGUAUUUUUCUUGAUCGUUUGAGUGGGGUGAAAAACAUAUUCACCGAAUUUCUUGAAAAUUUCAAAUGAGAUGAUGAAGUAGUCUUUUAAUUACGCUUUUUGGUUUUUAUAUUAAUUUUACUGCAAUUAUUUACUUAAUUUUUGUUAUAUUUGAUAUUGUAGCCUACUAUUCUUGAUCAAGUUAUCCUGAAUAAAGAUGUUUGGGGAGGAUAAAGUGGUUUCCCAGGGUUAUGGAAAAUUUAUUUUAUUAACUUUUGAAUUUUUUGUUAGUUUUGUUGUUAUUUUCUGUUUUAAUUUCCUUUUUUAAUUGAUUUCCGUUUAAUUUCCAACGGUUGCAAAAGGAAUAUCAAAUUCUUAAGAUGAAGGUCCAAAAGUGAACUCUAUUAAUUUCUGCGUAUUUUUCAUGUCUUCAUAUUUAUUUUAGCAUUUACGAUUACUUUUUGAAUGAUUUGUUGGAUAAGCAGGGUGUAGUAGCUGAUUGAAGAAUCAAAUAUUGCAGUUGCAAAAGGAAAAUCAAAUUCUUAAGAUGAAGGUCCAAAAGUGAACUCUAUUAAUUUCUGCGUUAUUAUUCAUGUCUUCAAUUUUUAUUUUAGAAUUUCUUAUUAUUUUGAACUGUUUUUAGUUUAUUUUGAAAUAUUUCCUUUUUUACCUAAUGAUGAACUUAGACUUUUCCCUAGAUGAAUCAUUGGAUUGAGUAAAGUUUUUUUGUUUAUUUUUCAUUGUGGUUGUAUAUUGAUAUUGAUUGAGUAAAGUUUUUUUUUUGUUCGUGUAUUUAAUUAAAAAGUGAUAUAUGAUUCCUUACGCACAAGGAAGUAGAAUAACAUAUUUUUAAUAUAAAUAACAGAUUUUGACAAACUUUAAUUUAUUCAAUAAAUUAACUAACUCACAGAUAAGUAAUGCCCAUAACUUAAUUUAACUAACUAAAAUUUGAUACAAAACUAACUAACUAACUCAAUUGUUUAUCUAAUAAGUUGGCCUCAAAACUUGUUAUUCUAAAUUCUCAUGGUAUUUUCUUUUCUUUCUUGCACACACAGUCUAGUUUUCUUUUUCUUUUCUUCAUGGUAUUUCUUCUUUCUUCAUCUUGCACACAGAGUGUAAUUUUCUUGGCUAACCAAGUAGUUUUUGGAGUGAAUACAGAAAACUUGAAUCUACUAAGCCACAUUUGAAUAGUGAAGAAGUUUCAGGGAUGAAUGGAACCAAACUUGAAUUUGUUGAACUUGGAAAGGAAAUGGAAAAGGUAAAUCGAUUUAAUCUUCUUUUUAAUAUGGUGUUUAAUUUUUUUCUAUAAUUCUUUUUCCUAAUUUUGAAUUCGUUUUUUUAUUUGUUAGAAUAUUGUUCUCGAUCGUUUGAGUGGGACGAAAAACAUAUUCACCAAAUUUCUUAAAAUUUCAAAAGGAGAUGAAUAGUAGGUCUUUUUAAUUAUGCUUUUGAUUUUUAUAUUAAUUUUUUGCAAUUUAUUUACUUAAUUUUGUUAUAUUUGAUAUUUGUAGCCAACAAGUGCUGAUCCAAGUUAUCCUGAACAAUAAUUUUGUGGAGAUGAAGUGGUUUCCCUUCCAAAGGUUAUGGAAAAUUUAUUUUAUUAACUUUUGAAAUUGUGAGUGGUUUUGUGAUAUUUCUGUUUAAUUUCUUUUUUUUUAAUGAUUUGUUUGAUAAACAGGGUGCUUAGUAGCUGAUUUGAAGAAUCAAAUAUUGCGGUUGCAAAAGGAAAAUCAAUUCUUACGAUGAAGUCCAAAAGUGAACUAUAUUACUUUUUGUGUAUUUUUCAUGUCUUCAAUUUUAUUUUAGCAUUUAAUGCUAUUUUGACUGUUUAUAGUUAUUUUGAAAUAUUUCUUUUUUUACAUAAUGAUGAACUUGAGGCUCUUCCCAGCAGAAAUCAUUGGAUUGAGUUAAACGUUUUUUUUUAUUGUUGGUUGUAUAUUGAUAUUGAUUGAGUAAAGUUUAUAUUUGUGUUUUUUAUGUAUUUAAUUAAAAUGUGAUAUAUCAUUCCUUACACACAAGGAAUGUAGAUAACAUAUUUUAAUAAUAAAAAUAACAGUAUUUUGACAAAUUCAAAUUUAUCCAAUAAAAUAACUAAUUCCAGGUGAGUAAUUGCCCUUAACUGAAUUUAAGUAACUGUAAAUUUAUAAUAGAUAUUGUUAGUUUUGUUGCGAUAUUUCUGUUUAAUUUCUGUUUUUUGAAAUGAUUUGUUUGUUAAUCAUGGUGUAGUGGCUAAUUUGAAGAAUCAAAUACUUGUGGUGCAAAAGGAAAAUCAAAUACUUAAGAUGAAGGUCGAAUAGUGAGCUCUUUAUAUUUUCUACACAUUUUUCAUGUCUUCAACUUUAUUUUGGCAUUUAUUGUAUAUUUGAACUGUUUAUAUUUAUUUUGAAAUAUUUCAUUUUUUACCAAAUUAUCAACUUGAGGCUUUUCCCAAGAAGAAACAUUGGAUUAUAGUUUUUUUCUUUAUUUUGCAUUGUGUUGUAUAAUUGUUAUGAUUGAGUAGUUUUCUUUGUGUUUUCGUGUAUUUAAUUAAAAUGUAAUAUACAAUUCCUUACACAAAGGAAAGUAGAAUACCAUAUUUUAACAUAAAAAUAACAAAUUUUGGCAAAUUGGAGUUAUCAAUAAAAUUAACUUCUCAAUAUAAGUAAACUACCUAUUAUCGAAUUUAACUAACUGAAAUCUGAUAAUAAAAACUUACAAACAACUAACAAACUCUCAAUUGUUUAUCUAUAGUAUUGGCUUCAGAACUUGUUAUUCUAAAUUCUCAUCUUCUAGACCCUUUUACUGUAAUUUCUUUUCUUCCUAUUGCACCACACGUGUAAUUUGGUUGGCUUUUACCAAGGAGUUCUUGGAAUAAAUACCAGAAAACUUGUAAUCUACUGAGCCAUAUUUGGAUACAGAAGAAGUUUUGGGGAUGAAUGGAACAGAACUUGAAUCUUAUGAGCUUGGAAAAGAAAUGGAAAAGUUAUCAAUUUAAUUCUUUUUUAAUAUGGUGUUUAGUUUUGCUUUAAUUGUUUUCCUUAAUUUUGAAUUUGUUUUUGAUUUCAGGUAUUGUUCCUUGAUCGAUGGAGUGGGACGAAGAACAUAUUCGCCCGAAUUUCAAUAGAUUUUCAAAAUGAGGCUGACCGAAGAGUCUUUUAUAUUCUACUUUUGAUUUCAUACUUAAACAGGGCAUUCGUUUCCAAGCCAUAUUUAUACACUUUUUUCUCUAAUAUAUUGAUAUGUUUUGAUAACCUCGACCUGUAUGUUGUGCAGAAUUUUGUAGCCAUGCCUGUGGUUAUCAUUUUCAGUCUCUCCUCUUCUGUUAUCCUGAACAAGAAUUUUGUGGAGAAUUUUGUGAGUUUUGUUGUGAUAUUUCUGUUUAAUUUCCUUUUUUUGAAAUGAUUUGUUUGAUUAGCAGGUUGUAGUAGCCGUAUUGAAGAAUCAAAUACUAGGGUUGCCAAUGGAAAAUCUAAUUCUUAAGAUCAAGGUCCAAAACUGAACUCUAUUAGCAGGGUGAAAUGAUUUGUUUGAUUAGCAGGGUGUAGUAGCCGUAUUGAAGAAUCAAAUACUGCGGUUGCUAAACGAAAAUCUAAUUCUUAAGAUGAAGGUCCAAAACUGAACUCUAUUUCUUUCUGCGUAUUUUUCAUGUCUUCAAUUUUUAUUUUAGCAUUUUCUAUUAUUUUGAACUAUUUGUAGUUAUUUUGGAAUAUUUCUUUUUUUUACAUAAUGAUGAACUUGAGGCUCUUUCGUAGAAGAAUCAUUGGAUUGAGUAAAGUUUUUUAUUUUAUUUUUCAUUGUGGUUGUAUAUUGAUAUUGAUUGAGUAAUUUUUUAUUUUGCAUUGUAUGUAUGUUUUAUAUUGUAGCCGACCAUUGUUGAUUAAGUUAUAUUGAACAAGAAUUUUGUGGAGGAUUAAGUGGUUUCCCUUCCAAAGGUUAACGAAAAUUUAUUUUAUUAACUUAGAUUAUUUUGUUAGUUUUUUAUGAUAUUUUUGUUUAAUUUCUUGAAUUUUGAAAUGAUUUGUUUGUUAAGUAGGGAGUAGUAGUUGAUUUGAAGAAUCAAAUACUGCGGUUGCAAAAGGAAAAUCAAAUUCUUAAGAUGAAGGUCCAAAAGUGAACUCUAUAAGUUUCUACGUAAUUUUCAUGUCUUCAAUUUUUAUUUUAACAUUUACUAUUAUUUUGAACUGUUUAUAGUUAUUUUGAAAUAUUUCUUUUUUUUUUUUUACAUAAUGAUGAACUUGAGGCUCUUCCUUAGAAGAAUCAUUGGGUUGAGUAAAGUUUUUUAUUUUAUAGUUUCAUUGUGGUGGUAUAUUGAUAAUUAUUUAGUAAUUUCUUUUUUGUUGUUUGUAUAUUUAAUUAAAAUGUGUUAUACCAUUCCUUACACUCAAGGAAUGUAGUAUAAAAUAUUUUAAUAAUAAAAUAACAGAACUUGCUAACUCAAUUGUUUAUAUUUAAGUAUUGGCUUCAGAACUUGAUAUUCUUGAUUCUCAUUUCUAGACCCUUUUAAUGAAUUUUCUUUUCUUCAUCUUGCACGCACAGUGUAACAAGCUUGGCUAACGAAGUAGUUCUUGGAAUGAAUACCAGAAAAGUUGAAUGUACUGAGCCACAUUUGUCAAUUGAAGAAGUUUUGGGGAUGAAUGGAACAAAACUAAAAUCUGUUGACCUUAGAAACGAAAUGGAAAAGGUAAAUAAAUUUAAUCUUUUUUAAUAUGGUGUUUAGUUUUUUGUUAUAAUUCUUUUUCCUUAAUUUUGAAUUUGUUUUUUGAUUUGUUAGAGUAUUGUUCUUGAUCGCUUGAGUGGGGUGAAAAACAUAUUCACCGAAUUUCUUGAGAUUUCAAAAGGAGAUGAUGAAGUAGUCUUUUAAUUACGCUUUUGGUUUUUAUAUUAAUUUUUUGCAAUUUAUUUACUUAAUUUGUUAUAUUUGAUAUUGUAGCCAACCAUUACUGAUCAAGUUAUCCCGAAUAAAGAAUUUUGUGGAGGAUGAAGUAGUUUCCCUUCCAAGGGUUAUGGAAAAUUGAUUUUAUUAACUUUUGAAUAUUUUGUGAGUUUUGUUGUGUUAUUUUUUGUUUAAUUUCCUUUGUUUUGAAAUGAUUUGUUGGAUAACCAGGGUGUAGUAGCUGAUUUGAAGAUUCAAAUAUUGCGGUUGCAAAAGGAAAAUCAAAUUCUUAAGAUGAAGGUCCAAAAGUGAACUCUAUUAAUUUUUGUGUAUUUUUCUUGUCUUCAAUUUUUAUUUUAGAAUUUACUAUUAUUUUUUUAAAUGAUUUGUUUGAUAAGAAGGGUGUGCUAGCUGAUUUGAAGAAUUAAAUAUUGUGGUUGCAAAAGGAAAAUCAAAUUCUUAAGAUGAAUGUCCAAAAGUGAACUCUAUUAAUUUAUGCGUAUUUUUCAUGUCUUCAAUUUUUAUUUUAGCAUUUACUAUUGUUUUGAACGGUUUAUAUUUAUUUCCAAAUAUUUCCUUUUUUUUACAUAAUGAUGAACUUGAGGCUCUUCCCUAGAAGAAUCAUUGGAUUGAGUAAAGUUUUUUAUUUUAUUUUUCAUUGUGGUUGUAUAUCGAUAUUGAUUUAGUAAAGUUUUUUGUUGUUGUUGUUUUUGUAUUUAAUUAAAAUGUGCUAUACCAUUCCUUACACAUAAGGAAUGUAGACUAAUUUAUUUCAAUAAUAAAAUAACAGAUCUUGACAAACUGGAAUUUAUCCAAUAAAAUUAACUAACUCAAGAUAAGUAGCUGCCCAUAACCGAAUUUAACUAACUGAAAUCAGAUAAAAAACUAACAAACUAACUCAAUUGUUUAUAUAUAGGUAUUGGCUUCAGAACUUGUUAAUCUAGAUUCUCAUUUCUAUACCCUUUUACUGAAUUUUCUUUUCUUCAUCUUGCAUGCACAGUGUAUCUCGCUUGGCUAACGAAGUAGUUCUUGGAAUGAAUAAUAGAAAAGUUGAAUGUACUGAGCCAACAUUUGGCUAUUGAAGAAGUUUUGGGGAUGAAUGGAACAAAACUUGAAUCUGUUGACCUUAGAAACGAAAUGGAAAAGGUAAAUAAAUUUAAUAUUUUUUAAUAUGGUGUUUAGUUUUUUGUUAUAAUUCUUUUUCCUUAAUUUUGAAUUUGUUUUUUGAUUUGUUAGAGUAUUGUUCUUGAUCGAUUGAGUGGGGUAAAAAACAUAUUCACGAAAUUUCUUGAAAUUUCAAAAAGAGAUGAUGAAGUAGUCUUUUAAUUACACUUUUGGUUUUUAUAUUAAUUUGACUGCAAUUUAUUUACUUAAUUUUGUUAUAUUUGAUAUUGUAGCCUACUAUUGUAGAUCAAGUUAUCCUGAAUAACGAAUUUUGUGGAGGAUGAAGUAGUUUCCCUUCCAAGGGUUAUGGAAAAUUUAUUUUAUUAACUUUUGAAUAUUUUGUGAGUUUUGUUGUGUUAUUUCUGUUUAAUGUUUUGAAAUGAUUUGUUUGAUAACCAAGGUGUAGUAGCUGAUUUGAAGAAUCAAAUAUUGCUGUUGCAAAAGGAAAAUCAAAUUCUUAAGAUGAAGGUCCAAAAGUGAACUCUAUUAAUUUUUGCGUAUUUUUCAUGUCUUCAUUUUUUAUUUUAGCAUUUACUAUUAUUUUUUGAAAUGAUUUGUUUGAUAAGAAGGGUGUGCUAGCUGAUUUGAAGAAUUAAAUAUUGCGGUUGCAAAAGGAAAAUCAAAUUCUUAAUAUGAAUGUCCAAAAGUGAACUCUAUUAAUUUAUGCGUAUUUUUCAUGUCUUCAAUUUGAAUUUUAGCAUUUAUUAUUGUUUUGAACGGUUUAUAUUUAUUUCCAAAUAUUUCCUUUUUUUUACAUAAUGAUAAACUUGAGGCUCUUCCCUAGAAGAAUCAUUGGAUUGAGUAAAGUUUUUUAUUUUAUUUUUCAUCGUGGUUGUAUAUCGAUAUUGAUUUAGUAAAGUUUUUUGUUGUUGUUGUUUUUGUAUUUAAUUAAAACGUGCUAUACCAUUCCUUACACACAAGGAAUGUAGACUAAAUUAUUUCAAUAAUAAAAUAACAGAUUUUAACAAACUGAAAUUUAUCCAAUAAAAUUAACUAACUCAAGAUAAGUACUUGCCCAUAACCGAAUUUAACUAACUGAAAUCAGAUAAAAAACUAACAAACUAACUCAAUUGUUUAUAUAUACGUAUUGGCUUCUGAACUUGUUAAUCUAGAUUCUCAUUUCUAGACCCUUUUACUGAAUUUUCUUUUCUUCAUCUUGCACGCACAGUGUAACUCGCUUGGCUAACGAAGUAGUUCUUGGAAUGAAUACUAGAAAAGUUGAAUGUACUGAGCCACAUUUGGCUAUUGAAGAAGUUUUGGGGAUGAAUGGAACAAAACUUAAAUCUGUUAACCUUAGAAGCGAAAUGGAAAAGGUAAAUAAAUUUAAUCUUUUUUAAUAUGGUGUUUAGUUUUUUGUUAUAAUUCUUUUUCCUUAAUUUUAAAUUUGUUUUUGGAUUUGUUAGAGUAUUUUUCUUGAUCGUUUGAGUGGGGUGAAAAACAUAUUCACCGAAUUUCUUGAAAUUUCAAAAUGAGAUGAUGAAGUAGUCUUUUAAUUACGCUUUUGGUUUUUAUAUUAAUUUUACUGCAAUUUAUUUACUUAAUUUUGUUAUAUUUGAUAUUGUAGCCUACUAUUCUUGAUCAAGUUAUCCUGAAUAAAGAUGUUUGGGGAGGAUAAAGUGGUUUCCCAGGGUUAUGGAAAAUUUAUUUUAUUAACUUUUGAAUUUUUUGUUAGUUUUGUUGUGUUAUUUCUGUUUAAUUUCCUUUUUUAAAUGAUUUCCGUUUAAUUUCCAACGGUUGCAAAAGGAAUAUCAAAUUCUUAAGAUGAAGGUCCAAAAGUGAACUCUAUUAAUUUCUGCGUAUUUUUCAUGUCUUCAUAUUUUAUUUUAGCAUUUACGAUUACUUUUUGAAAUGAUUUGUUGGAUAAGCAGGGUGUAGUAGCUGAUUUGAAGAAUCAAAUAUUGCAGUUGCAAAAGGAAAAUCAAAUUCUUAAGAUGAAGGUCCAAAAGUGAACUCUAUUAAUUUCUGCGUAUUAUUCAUGUCUUCAAUUUUUAUUUUAGAAUUUACUAUUAUUUUGAACUGUUUUUAGUUAUUUUGAAAUAUUUCCUUUUUUUACCUAAUGAUGAACUUAGACUUUUCCCUAGAUGAAUCAUUGGAUUGAGUAAAGUUUUUUGUUUUAUUUUUCAUUGUGGUUGUAUAUUGAUAUUGAUUGAGUAAAGUUUUUUUUUUGUUCGUGUAUUUAAUUAAAAAGUGAUAUAUGAUUCCUUACGCACAAGGAAUGUAGAAUAACAUAUUUUAAUAAUAAAAUAACAGAUUUUGACAAACUUAAAUUUAUUCAAUAAAAUUAACUAACUCAAGAUAAGUAACUGCCCAUAACUUAAUUUAACUAACUAAAAUUUGAUACAAAACUAACUAACUAACUCAAUUGUUUAUCUAUAAGUAUUGGCCUCAAAACUUGUUAUUCUAAAUUCUCAUGGUAUUUUCUUUUCUUCAUCUUGCACACACAGUCUAGUUUUCUUUUCUUUUCUUCAUGGUAUUUUCUUUUCUUCAUCUUGCACACAGAGUGUAAUUUUCUUGGCUAACCAAGUAGUUUUUGGAGUGAAUACCAGAAAACUUGAAUCUACUAAGCCACAUUUGAAUAGUGAAGAAGUUUCAGGGAUGAAUGGAACAAAACUUGAAUUUGUUGAACUUGGAAAGGAAAUGGAAAAGGUAAAUCGAUUUAAUCUUCUUUUUAAUAUGGUGUUUAAUUUUUUUCUAUAAUUCUUUUUCCUUAAUUUUGAAUUCGUUUUUUUAUUUGUUAGAAUAUUGUUCUCGAUCGUUUGAGUGGGACGAAAAACAUAUUCACCAAAUUUCUUAAAAUUUCAAAAGGAGAUGAUAUAGUAGUCUUUUAAUUAUGCUUUUGAUUUUUAUAUUAAUUUUUUGCAAUUUAUUUACUUAAUUUUGUUAUAUUUGAUAUUGUAGCCAACAAGUGCUGAUCAAGUUAUCCUGAACAAAUAAUUUUGUGGAGAAUGAAGUGGUUUCCCUUCCAAAGGUUAUGGAAAAUUUAUUUUAUUAACUUUUGAAAAUUUGUGAGUGUUGUUGUGAUAUUUCUGUUUAAUUUCUUUUUUUUUAAUGAUUUGUUUGAUAAACAGGGUGUAGUAGCUGAUUUGAAGAAUCAAAUAUUGCGGUUGCAAAAGGAAAAUCAAAUUCUUACGAUGAAGGUCCAAAAGUGAACUAUAUUACUUUUUGUGUAUUUUUCAUGUCUUCAAUUUUUAUUUUAGCAUUUAAUGCUAUUUUGAACUGUUUAUAGUUAUUUUGAAAUAUUUCUUUUUUUACAUAAUGAUGAACUUGAGGCUCUUCCCUAGAAGAAUCAUUGGAUUGAGUAAAGUUUUUUUUUAUUGUGGUUGUAUAUUGAUAUUGAUUGAGUAAAGUUUAUUUUUGUGUUUUUUAUGUAUUUAAUUAAAAUGUGAUAUAUCAUUCCUUACACACAAGGAAUGUAGAAUAACAUAUUUUAAUAAUAAAAUAACAGAUUUUGACAAAUUCAAAUUUAUCCAAUAAAAUUAACUAAUUCAAGAUGAGUAAUUGCCCUUAACUGAAUUUAAGUAACUGAAAUUUGAUAAUAGAUAUUGUUAGUUUUGUUGCGAUAUUUCUGUUUAAUUUCUGUUUUUUUGAAAUGAUUUGUUUGAUAAUCAUGGUGUAGUGGCUAAUUUGAAGAAUCAAAUACUGUGGUUGCAAAAGGAAAAUCAAAUACUUAAGAUGAAGGUCGAAUAGUGAGCUCUAUAAUUUUCUACACAUUUUUCAUGUCUUCAACUUUUAUUUUGGCAUUUAUUGUUAUUUUGAACUGUUUAUAGUUAUUUUGAAAUAUUUCAUUUUUUACAAAAUUAUCAACUUGAGGCUUUUCCCAAGAAGAAACAUUGGAUUGAAUAAAGUUUUUUAUUUUAUUUUGCAUUGUGAUUGUAUAUUGUUAUUGAUUGAGUAAAGUUUUUCUUUGUGUUUUUCGUGUAUUUAAUUAAAAUGUGAUAUACAAUUCCUUACACAAAAGGAAAGUAGAAUACCAUAUUUUAACAAUAAAAUAACAAAUUUUGGCAAAUUGAAAGUUAUCCAAUAAAAUUAACUUACUCAAUAUAAGUAACUACCUAUUAUCGAAUUUAACUAACUGAAAUCUGAUAAUAAAAACUAACAAACUAACAAACUAACUCAAUUGUUUAUCUAUAAGUAUUGGCUUCAGAACUUGUUAUUCUAAAUUCUCAUUUCUAGACCCUUUUACUGUAAUUUCUUUUCUUCAUAUUGCACACACAGUGUAAUUUGAACUCAAUUGUUUAUCUAUAAGUAUUGGCUUCAGAACUUGUUAUUCUAAAUUCUCAUUUCUAGACCCUUUUACUGUAAUUUCUUUUCUUCAUAUUGCACACACAGUGUAAUUUGCUUGGUUAACCAAGGAGUUCUUGGAAUAAAUACCAGAAAACUUGAAUCUACUGAGCCAUAUUUGGAUACAGAAGAAGUUUUGGGGAUGAAUGGAACAGAACUUGAAUCUUAUGAGCUUGGAAAAGAAAUGGAAAAGUUAAAUCAAUUUAAUCUUUUUUAAUAUGGUGUUUAGUUUUUUGCUUUAAUUGUUUUUCCUUAAUUUUGAAUUUGUUUUUGAUUUGUUAGAGUAUUGUUCUUGAUCGAUGGAGUGGGACGAAGAACAUAUUCGCCGAAUUUCAAGAGAUUUCAAAAUGAGCUGACGAAGGAGUCUUUUAAUUCUACUUUUGAUUUUUAUAUUAACUUUUUUUCAAUUUAUUUAUUUAAUUUUGUUAUGUUUGAUAUUGUAGCCAACCAUUGCUUAUCAAGUUAUCCUGAACAAGAAUUUUGUGGAGAAUUUUGUGAGUUUUGUUGUGAUAUUUCUAAUUAAUUUCUUGUUUUUUGAAAUGAUUUGUUUGAUUAGCAGGGUGAAUAGCCGUAUUGUAGAAUCAAAUACUGCGGUUGCAAAAGGAAAAUCUAAUUCUUAAGAUGAAGGUCCAAAACUGAACUCUAUUACUUUCUACGUAUUUUUCAUGUCUUCAAUUUUUAUUUUAGCAUUUUCUAUUAUUUUGAACUGUUUGUAGUUAUUUUGAAAUAUUUCUUUUUUUUACAGAAUGAUGAACUUGAGGCUCUUCCCUAGAAGAAUCAUUGGAUUGAGUAAAGUUUUUUAUUUUAUUUUUCAUUGUGGUUGUAUAUUGAUAUUGAUUGAGCAAUGUUUUUUUUUGCAAUGUAUGUGUGUUCAAUUAAAAUGUGUUUUACCAUUCCUUACACACAAUAGAAUAAUAGAUUUUGACAAAAUAAAUUUAAGUAAUUGCCCAUAACCGAAUUUAAGUAACUGAAAUCUGAUAAUAGAAUUUGUUAGUUUUGUUGUGAUAUUUUUGUUUAAUUUCUGUUUUUCUGAAAUGAUUUGUUUGAUAAGCAGGGUGUAGUGGCUAACUUGAAGAAUCAAAUACUGUGGUUGCAAAAGGAAAAUCAAAUACUUAACAUGAAGGUCCAAAAGUGAGCUCUAUUAUUUUCUGCACACUUUUCAUGUCUUCAAUUUAUAUUUUAGCAUUUACUUUAUUUUGAACUGUUUAUAGUUAUUUUGAAAUAUUUGAUUUUUUACAUAAUGAUGAACUUGAGGCUCUUCCCUAGAAGAAACAUUGGAUUGAGUAAAGUGUUUUAUUUUAUUUUGCAUUGUGGUUGUAUAUUGUUAUUGAUUGAGUAAAGUUUUUUUUCCGUGUAUUUAAUUAAAAUGUGUUAUACAAUUCCUUACACAAAAGGAAUGUAGAAUAACAUAUUUUAAUAAUAAAAUAACAGUUUUUGACACACUGAAAUUUAUCCAAUAAAAUGAACUUACUCAAAAUAAUUAACUGCCCAUAACCGAAUUUAACUAACUAAAAUCUGCUAAAAAACUAACAAACUAACUCAAUUGUUUAUCUUUAAGUAUUGGCUUCAGAACUUGUUAUUCCGAAUUCUCAUUUCUAGACCCAUUUACGGUAUUUACUUUUCAUCAUCUUGCACACACAAUGUACUUUGCUUGGCUAACCAAGUAGUUCUUGGAAUGAUUGCCAUAAAACUUGAAUCUACUAAGCCACAUUUGACUAAUGAAGAAGUUUCGGGGAUGAAUGGAACAAAACUUGAAUUUGUUGAAUUGGAAAAGAAAUGGAAAAGGUAAAUCAAUUUAAUUUUUUUUUAAAACUGGUGUUUAGUUUUUUGCUAUAACUAUUUUUCCUUAAUUUUGAAUUUGUCUUUUGAUUUGUUAGAGUAUUUUUAUUAAUCGUUUGAAUGGGACGAAAAACAUAUUCACCGAAUUUCUUGAGAUUUCAAAAGGAGAUUGUAACAACUCGUAUAAUAUAUAUCUAGAAUAAUAUCAUACAAGUGUUAAAUUUUGGUACUGUCACGACAUAAGUUCCUAAUGGCAUCAAUAGAUAUACAUGUCCAAACUAAAAACAUUAAUGGAACAUGUUAUACAAUAAUGCCUAAACAAUAAAAAUCUAAGGACUAUGUGCAAUAUCUUCAUUGCACACAACUCCACAACGGAAGAUCACGAUAAACAGCAUCCCUUGAAGAAUCCAUAACAGCUUCUCAUAGAUUCAACCUGUAAAGAAUUACCAGAAAAAUAACAAGAAUGAUGGGAUGAGAUAAUAAUCUCAGUGAGUUCUCCUAUCCUAUGGGUCCACUCGGCUCUACAGGGUUUCUGAUCAAUAUUCAACUCAUAUCCAACUCAAGUCAACAAGGGAACGAAGACUUGAGCGGUGGGGAAACUAUCUCGCAAUUGUAUGGCAACAUGCAUCUGAGUUCUCAUAACUCAACCACGAUCAUUAUUCAGAUCACGGCGCAUCAAUUCCCGAACGGACUUACGUCUAAGCCAGGCCCGGUUCAUGCAUGCCCGUAUGAUUCGACUUUGCGGUGGAUAUCGGGUCCUCUAUGAGGCUUAAUCCCCAGUUCAAGCGACUGUCACCCGUAUGGGACUCUAACCCACCUAGGGUAUCUUUCACCGUAUGGGACUCUAACCCACAUAGGUGUCCACCUUUCCCCCAUGUCCGCCAUGGUUGGGGCUCAAACCCAAUUGAGGCUCGAAUCAUUGGUCCCACAUCCCAAUGCUUACACGUCUAAGCAUACCAAUAGAGAUGUGUACCAUCACAGAAAAACACACAUUCUGAAUACAUGAUUGGUUUCGCAAAUCAUUGGUUCCACGAACCAUAACAAAAUUCAUCAAUCACUGGUAACUGUAUUCACCACAAUACACAACAAUAACAUGGCAUGUUCCAUACAAUGCGUUUCAUUCUCAAUCAUGGCAACAAUUCGUCCACGACCUCACAGAAGCGUCGUACGAAUGAAUACCGUAUUCUCAUACAUAUCACACAUGUCCCAUAACCUAUAUUAUAUUUCUAAGUUAUUAAUUAAGUUAUUCUCCUAGGUUUCCUCACUCAUCUUAGUAAGGUUUUUAAUCAUGUUAUUUCACAAUCAAACAUAUCAACAAUGUUUAGCAUCCAUCAUAAUGUAAUUCAUAGAAUUUGUAAAUCACAUGAUAUACUAAUACAUGGUAUCAUAAUAAUAGUCUUUUUCGUUAUCUUACUAACGCAUCCGUCGGCAUCCAAAACGGAGUUAUAACCCUCAAUCAAUUCGUUAAUCCAUUUUAAUCAAGAUUUAGAUUAACAUGUAUUCAUUGCAUAAAUAUUCAAUGACAACAUCUUUGGCCUAGUGGUAAGGCUUAUACAAUUCCAAGGAGGUCCUGGGUUCGAACCCCAUUGGUGACAUAUUUUAAUUCAUCAAAUAAUUAAUUCAUGUCAAUAGAUUGAUCAAAUGAAUCAAUAAUAUUGAAGAAUCAUUUGAUUGAGUGAAGUUUUUUAUUUUAUUUUUCAUUGUGAUUGUAUAUUGAUGUAUAUUGAUAUUGAUUGAGUAAAGUUUUUUUUGGCAUUGUAUGUGUAUUUAAUUAAAAUGUCCUAUACCAUUCCUUAUAAAGUUUUUUUUGGCAUUGUAUGUGUAUUUAAUUAAAAUGUCCUAUACCAUUCCUUACACACAAGGAAUGUAGAAUAAAAAGAUUUUAACAAUAAAAUAACAUAUUUUGAAAAACUCAAAUUUAUCCAAAACUUGAAUAUGUUGAUCUUGGAAACUAGACAUGUAAAGGUACAAUCAAGUUUAAAUCUUGGUUUUAAUAUGGUGUUUAUUCUUUUGCUAUAAUUCUUUUUCAUUAAGCAUUUGAAUUUGUUUUUUUAUUUGUUAGAGUAUUGUUCUUGUCGUUGGAGUGGACGAAGAACAUAUUCACCGAAUUUCUUGAAAUUUCAAAGGAGUUGAUAAGUAGUCUUUUAAUUGUGCUUUUGAUUUUUAUAUUAAUUUAUUUUCCAAUUUAUUUACUUAAUUUGUUAUGUUUCAUAUUGUAGUCGACCAUUGUCGAUCAAGUUAUCCUGAACAAGAAUUUUGUGGAGGAUGAAGUGGUUUCCAUUCCAAAGGUUAAUAAAAAAUUAUUUAUUAACUUGUGAUUAUUUUGUGAGUUUUAUGUGAUAUUUUGUUUAAUACCUUUUACUGUAUUUUCUUUUCUUCAUAUUUACACACAGUGUAAUUUGCUGUUAACCAAGUAGUUCUUAGAAUGAAUACCAGAAAACUUGAAUCUACUUGGCCAUAUUUGGCUACAGAAGAAUUUUGGGAUGAAUGGAAAAAAAACUUGAAUCUUAUGAGCUUGGAAAAGACAUGGAAAAGUUAAAUCAAUUUAAUCAUUUUAAUAUGUGUUUAGUUUUUUACUUUAAUUCUUUUUCCUUAAUUUUGAUUUUGUUUUUGAUUUGUUAGAGUAUUGUUCUUGAUCGUUGGAGUGGGACGAAGAACAAUAUUCACCGAAUUUCUUGAGAUUUCAAAAGGAGCUGAUGAAGUAGUCUUUAAUUCUACUUUGAUUUUUAUAUUAACUUUUGCAAUUUAUUUACUUAAUUUUGUUAUGUUUGAUAUUGUAGCCAACCAUUGUUUAUCAAGUUAUCCUGAACAAGAAUUUUGUGGAUAAUUUUGUGAGUUUUUUUGAUAUUUUCAUUUAAUUUACUUUUUUAUAACGAUUUUUUGAUAAGCAUGGUGUAGUGCUAAUUGAAGAAUCAAAUUCUGUGGUUGCAAAAGGAAAAUCAAAUUCUUAGUGAAGGUCCGAAAAUGAACUCUAUAAUUUUCUGCGUAUAAUUCAUGUUUCAAAAUUUUAUAUUAGCAUUUACUGUUAUUUCGAAAAAAAUUUAUAGUUAUUUUGAAAUAUUUUCUUUUUUUUACACGACAUGAUGAACUUGAGGGUCUUCCCUAGAAGAAUCAUUGGAUGAGUAAUGUUUUUUUUUAUUUUUCAUUGUGGUUCUAUAUUGAAUUGAUUGAGUAAGUUUUUUUUUUGCAUUUUAUGUGUGUUAAUUAAAUGUCCUAUACCAUUCCUUACACACAAGGAAUGUAGAAUAAAAAGAUUUAACAAUAAAAUAACAUAUUUUGAAAACUCAAAUUUAUCCAAACACUUGAAUAUGUUGAUCUUGGAAAAGAAAUGUAAAAGGUAAAUCAAUUUAAUCUUGGUUUAAUAUGGUGUUUAUUCUUUUGCUAUAAUUCUUUUUCAUUUACAUUGAAUUGUUUUUUUAUUGUUAGAGUAUUGUCUUGUUCGUUGGAUGUGGACGAAGAACAUAUUCACCGAAUUUCUUGAAAUUUCAAAAGGAGUUGAUAAAGUAGUCUUUUAAUUGUGCUUUUGAUUUUAUAUUAAUUUAUUUUCAUUUAUUUACUAAUUUGUUAUGUUCAUUUGUAGUCGACCAUUGUCGAUCAAGUUAUCCUGAACAAGAAUUUUGUGGAGGAUGAAGUGGUUUCCAUUCCAAAGGUUAAAUAAAAAAUUAUUUUUUAACUUGUGAUUAUUUUGUGAGUUUUAUGUGAUAUUUUGUUUAAUACCCUUUUACUGUAUUUUCUUUUCUUCAUACUUUCACACACAGUGUAAUUGCUUGGUUAACCAAGUAGUUCUUAGAAUGAAUACCAGAAAACUUGAAUCUACUUGCCAUAUUUGGCUACAGAAGAAGUUUUGGGGAUGAAUGGAAAAAACUUGAAUCUUAUGAGCUUGGAAAGACAUGGAAAAGUUAAAUCAAUUUAACAUUUUUAAUAUGGUGUUUAGUUUUUUACUUUAAUUCUUUUCCUUAAUUUUGAUUUUGUUUUUGAUUGUUAGAGUAUUGUUCUUGAUCGUUGGAGUGGGACGAAGAACAUAUUCACCGAUUUCUUGAGAUUUCAAAAGGAGCUGAUGAAGUAGUCUUUUAAUUCUACUUCUUUGAUUUUUUAUAUAACUUUUUGCCAAUUUAUUACUUAAUUUUGUUAUGUUUGAUAUUGUAGCCAACCAUUGUUUAUCAAGUUAUCCUGAACAAGAAUUUUGUGGAUAAUUUUGUGAGUUUUUUUAUGAUAUUUUCAUUUAAUUUACUUUUUAUAAACGAUUUGUUGAUAAGCAUGGUGUAGUAGCUAAUUGAAGAAUCAAAUUCUGUGGUUGCAAAACGGAAAAUCAAAUUCUUAAGAUGAAGGUCCGAAAAUGAACUCUAUAAUUUUCUGCGUAUAAUUCAUGUCUUCAAUUUUUAUAUUAGCAUUUACUGUUAUUUCGAAAAAUAUUAGAGUUAUUUGAAUAUUUCUUUUUUUACAGAAUGAUGAACUUGAGGGUCUUCCUAGAAGAAUCAUUGGAUUUGAGUAAUGUUUUUUUUUUUUUUUCAUUGUGGUUUCUAUAUUGAAUAUUGAUUGAGUAAGUUUUUUUUGCAUUUUAUGUGUGUUUAAUUAAAAUGUCCUAUGACCAUUCCUUACACACAAGGAAUGUAGAAUAAAAAGAUUUUAACAAUAAAAUAACAUAUUUUGAAAAACUCAAUUUAUCCAAAACUUGAAUAUGUUGAUCUUGGAAAAGAAAUGUAAAAGGUAAUCAAUUUAAUCUUGGUUUUAAUAUGGUGUUUAUUUCUUUUGCUAUAAUUCUUUUUCAUUAAUUUGAAUUUGUUUUUUUAUUUGUUAGAGUAUUGUUCUUGUUCGUUGGAGUGGGACGAAGAACAUAUUCACCGAAUUUCCUUGAAAUUUCAAAAGGAGUUGAUAAGUAGUCUUUAAUUGUGCUUUUGAUUUUUAUAUUAAUUUAUUUUCAAUUAUUUACUUAAUUUUGUUAUGUUUCAUAUUGUAGUGCCACAUUGUCGAUCAAGUUAUCCUGAACAAGAAUUUUGUGGAGGAUGAAGUGGUUUCCAUUCCAAGGUUAAUAAAAAUUAAUUUUAUUAACUUGUGAUUAUUUUGUGAGUUUUUAUGUGAUAUUUUUGUUUAAUACCCUUUUACUGUAUUUUCUUUUCUUCAUAUUUCACACACAGUGUAAUUUGCUUGGUUAACCAAGUAGUUCUUAGAAUGAAUACCAGAAACUUGAAUCUACUUGGCCAUAUUUGGCUACAGAAGAAGUUUUGGGGAUGAAUGGAAAAAAACUUGAAUCUUAUGAGCUUGGAAAAGACAUGGAAAAGUUAAAUCAAUUUAAUCAUUUUAAUAUGGUGUUUAGUUUUUUUACUUUAAUUCUUUUCCUUAAUUUUGAUUUUGUUUUUGAUUUGUUAGAGUAUUGUUCUGGAUCGUUGGAGUGGACGAAGAACAUAUUCACGAAUUUCUUGAGAUUUUCAAAAGGAGCUGAUGAAGUAGUCUUUUAAUUCUACUUUUGAUUUUUAUAUUAACUUUUUGCAAUUAUUUACUUAAUUUUUGUUAUGUUUGAUAUGUAGCCACCAUUGUUUAUCAAGUAUCCUGAACAAGAAUUUUGUGGAUAAUUGUUGUGAGUUUUAUUUAUGAUAUUUUCAUUUAAUUUACGCUUUUUUAUAAACGAUUUGUUUGAUAAGCAUGGUGUAGUAGCUAAUUGAAGAUCAAAUUCUUGGUUGCAAGGAAAAUCAAUUCUUAAGAUGAAGUCCGAAAAUGAACUCAUAAUUUCUGCGUAUAAUAUGUCUUCAAAUUUUAUAUAGCAUUUACUGUUAUUUGAAAAAAUUUAUAGUUAUUUGAAAUAUUUCUUUUUUUUACAAAUGAAACUUGAGGGUCUUCCCUAGAAGAAUCAUUGGAUUGAGUAAUGUUUUUUAUUUUAUUUUUCAUUGUGGUUCUAUAUUGAUAUUGAUUGAGUAAAGUUUUUUUUGCAUUUUAAUGUGUGUUUUAAAUUAAAUGUCCUAUACCAUUCCUUACACACAAGGAAUGUAGAGAAAAAAGAUUUUAACAAUAAAACAUAACAUAUUUUGAAAAACUCAAAUUUAUCCAAAACUUGAAUUUGUUGAUCUUGCGAAAAAGAAAUGUAAAGGUAAAUCAUUUAAUCUUGGUUUAAAUAUGGUGUUUAUUCUUUUGCUAUAAUUCUUUUUCAUUACAUUUGAAUUGUUUUUUUAUUGUUAGAGUAUUGUUCUUGUUCGUUGGAGUGGGACGAAGAAACUAUCACUCGAAUUUCUUGAAAUUUCAAAGGAGUUGAUAAAGUAGUCUUUUAAUUGUGCUUUUGAUUUUUAUAUUAAUUUUCUUUUCAUUUACUUUACUAAUUUUGUUAUGUUUCAUAUUGUAGUCGACCAUUGUCGAUCAAGUUUUCCUGAACAAGAAUUUUGUGGAGGAUGAAGUGGUUUCAUUCCAAAGGUUAAUAAAAAAUUAUUUUAUUAACUUGUGAUUAUUUUGUGAUUUUUUAUGUGAUAUUUUUGUUUAAUACCCUUUUACUGUAUUUUCUUUUCUUCAUAUUUCACACCACAGUGUAAUUUGCUUGGUUAACCAAGUAGUUCUUAGAAAGAAUACCAGAAAACCUUGAAUCUAUCUACUUGGCCAUAAUUUGGCUACAGAAGAAGUUUUGGGGUGAAUGGAAAAAAACUUGAAUCUUAUGAGUGGAAAAGACUGGAACAAGUAAAUCAAUUUAAUCAUUUUUAAUAAUGGUGUUAGUUUUUUUACUUUAAUUCUUUUUCCUUAAUUAUUGAUUUUGUUUUUGAUUUGUUAGAGUAUGUUCUUGAUCGUGGAGUGGGACGAAGAACAUAUCACCGAAUUUCUUGAGAUUCAAAGGAGUCGAGAGUAAGUCCUUUUAAUUCUACUUUUGAUUUUAUGAUUAACUUUUUGGCAAUUUAUUACUUAAUUUGGUUAUGUUUGGAUAUGUAGCCAACCCAAUGUUUAUCAAGUUAAUCCUGAACAAGAAUUUUGUGGAUAAUUUUGUGUGAGUUUUUUAUGAUAUUUUUUCAUUUAAUUACUUUUUUAUAACACGAUUUGUUUGAUAAGCAUCGGUGGAGUAGCUAAUUGAAGAAUCAAAUUCUGUGGUUGGCACAAAGGAAAAUCAAAUUCUACAGAUGAACGGUCCGAAAAUGACACUUAAUAAUUUUCUGCGUAUACACAUUCAUGCUCACAUAUUUUACUAUUAGCAUUUACUGUUAUUUCAACAAUAAAUUUAUAGUUAUUUUGAAAAUUAUUUCUUUUUUACCCGAAGAGACUUGAGGGUCUCCUAGAACACGAAUCAUUGGAUUGAGUAACUGUUUUAUUUUAAUUUUUCCAUUGUGGUUCUAUAUUGAUAUUGAUUGAGUAAUAGUUUUUUUUUUGCAUUUACUGUGUGUUUUAAUUAAACAUGUCCCUAUAACCAUCCUACACACACACAAGGAAUGUAGACAAAUAAAAAGAUUUUAACACAAUAAACAAUAACAUAUUUGAAAAACUCAAAUUAAUCCAAAAGCUUUGAAUAUGUUGAUCUUGAAAAAGAAAAUGUUAAAGAAAAUGAAAUAAUUUAACUUGGUUUUUAAAUACUGGUGUUUUUAUCUUUGCUAAUAAUUCUUAUUCAUUUACAUUUGAAUUGUUUUUUUUUGACUUUAGAGUAUGUUUCUUGUUCUUGUUGAGGGACGAAGAAACAUAUUCACCGAACUUUCUUAAAUUUCAAAAGGAGUUGAUACAAGUAGUCUUUAAUUGUGGCUUUUGAACUUUACAUAUUAUUAUUUUCAAUUUAUUACUUAAUUUGGUUACUGUUUCAUAUUUGUACGUCGACCAUUGCGAUCAAGUUACCUGAACAGAAUGUGAGGAUGAAGUGGUUCCAUUCCAAAGGGUUACAUAAAAAAUUAUUUUAUUAAUUGUGAUUAUUUGUGAGUUUUUAACGUGAUAUUUUGGUUUAAUACCCUUUUACUGAUUUUAUUUUCCUUCAUAUUUUCACGACACAGUGUAAUUUGCUUGGUUAACCAAGUAGUUCUUAGAAGAUACCAAAAACUUGAAUCUACUUGGCUAUUUGGCUAACAGAAGAAGUUUUGGAGAAUGGAAAAGAACUUGAAUCUUAUGAGCUUGGAAAAAGACAUGGAAAAUUACAAUCAAUUUACCUCAUUUUAAUACUGUGUUUAGUUUUUACUUUAAUUCUUUUCCCUUAUUUGAUUUUGUUUUUGAUUUGUAGAGUACAUUGUUCUGAUCGUUGGAGUGGGACGAAGAACAAUAUGUCAGCACGAAUUUCUUGAGAUUGUCAGAAAGGAGCUUGAUAAGUUAGGCUUUUAAUGUCCUACUUUUGGAUUUUAUAUUAACUUUUUGCAAUUUAUUUCCUUAAUUUGUUUAUGUUUGUAUUGUAGCCACAUUGUUUUAUCAAGUUAUCCUGAACAAGAAUUUUGUGGAUAUUUUGUGAGUUUUUUUAUGAUAUUUUCAUUUAAUUUACUUUUUUAUAAACGUUUGUUUGAUAACGCAUGGUGUAGUAGCUAAUUUGAAGAAUCAAAUUCUGUGGUUGCAAAGGAAAAUCAAAUUCUUAAGAUGAAGGUCCGAAAAUGACUCUAUAAUUUUCUGGCGUAUAAUUCAAUGUCUUCAAAUUUUAUAUUAGCAUUUACUGUUAUUUCGAAAAAAUUAUAGUUAUUUUGAAAUAUUUCUUUUUUUUACAGAAUGAUGAACUUGAGGGUCCUUCCCUAGAAGAAUCAUUGAUUGAGUAAUGUUUUUUAUUUAUUUUCAUUGUGUUCUAUAUUGAUAUUGAUUGAUAAAGUUUUUUUUUGCAUUUUAUGUGUGUUUAAUUAAAAUGUCCUAUACCAUUCUUACACACAAGGAAUGUAGAAAAAAAGAUUUUAACAAUAAAAUAACAUAUUUUGAAACUCAAAUUUAUCCAAAACUUGAAUAUGUUGAUCUUGGAAACAGAAAUGUAAAGGUAAAUCAAUUUAAUCUUGGUUUUAAUAUGGUGUUUAUUCUUUUGCUAUAUUCUUUUUUCAUUAAUUUGAAUUUGUUUUUUUAUUUGUUAGAGUAUUGUUCUUGUUCGUUGGAGUGGGACGAAGAACAUAUUCACCGAAUUUCUUGAAAUUUCAAACAGGAGUUGAUAAAGUAGUCUUUUAAUUGUGCUUUUGAUUUUUAUAUUAAUUUUUCAAUUUAUUUACUUAAUUUUGUUCAUGUUUCAAUAUUGUAGUCGACGCAUUGUCGAUCAAGUUAUCCUGACAAGAAUUUUUUUGGAGGAUGAAGUGGUUUCCAUUCCAAGGUUAAUAAAAAUUAUUUUUAUUAACUUGUGAUUAUUUUGUGAGUUUUUAUGUGAUAUUUUUGUUUAAUACCCUUUUACUGUAUUUUCUUUCUCAUAUUCACACACAGUGUAAUUUGCUUGGUUAACACAGUAGUUCUUAGAAUGAUACCAGAAAACUUGAAUCUACUUGGCCAUAUUUGCUACAGAAGAAUUUGGGAUGAAUGGAAAAAACUUGAAUCUUAUGGCUUGGAAAAGACAUGGAAAAGUUAAAUCAAUUAUCAUUUUUAAAUAUGGGUGUUUAGUUUUUUACUUUAAUUCUUUUUCCUUAAUUUUGAUUUUGUUUUUGAUUUGUUAGGUAUUGUUCUUGAUCGUUGGAGUGUGGACGAAGAACAUAUUCACCGAAUUUCUUGAGAUUUCAAAAGGAGCUGAUGAAGUAGUCUUUUAAUUCUACUUUUGAUUUUGAUAUUAACGUUUUUGCAAUUUAUUUACUUAAUUUUGUUAUGUUUGAUAUUGUAGCCAACAUUGUUUAUCAGUUAUCCUGAAAAGAACUUUUGUGGAUAAUUUUGUGAGUUUUUUUAUGAUAUUUUCAUUUAAUUUACUUUUUUAUAAACGAUUUGUUUGAUAAGCCUGGUGUAGUAGCUAAUUGAGAAUCAAUUCUGUGGUUGCAAAGGAAAAUCAAAUUCUUAAGAUGAAGGUCCGAAAUGAACUCUAUAAUUUUCUGCGUAUAAUUCAUGUCUUCAAAUUUUUAUUUAGCAUUUACUGUUAUUUCGAAAAAAUUUAUAGUUAUUUUGAAAUAUUUUCUUUUUUACAGAAUGAUGAACUGAGGGUCUUCCCUAGAAGAAUCAUUGGAUUGAGUAAUGUUUUUUAUUUUAUUUUCAUUGUGGUUUUAUAUUGAUAUUGAUUGAGUAAAGUUUUUUUUUGCAUUUUAUGUGGUUUAAUUAAAAUGUCCUAUACAUUCCUUACACACAAGGAAUGUAGAAAAAGAAGAUUUUAACAAUAACAUAACAUAUUUUUGAAAAACUCAAAUUUAUCCAAAACUUGAAUAUGUUGAUCUUGGAAAAGAAAUGUAAAAGGUAAAUCAAUUUAAUCUUGGUUUUAAAUAUGGUGUUUAUUCUUUUGCUAUAAUUCUUUUUCAUUACAUUUGAAUUUGUUUUUUAUUUGUUAGAGUAUUGUUCUUGUUCGUUGGAGUGGGACGAAGAACAUAUUCACCGAAUUUCUUGAAAUUUCAAAGGGAGUGAAUAAGUAGUCUUUAAUUGUGCUUUUGAUUUUAUAUUAAUUUAUUUUCAAUUUAUUUACUUAAUUUUGUUAUGUUUCAUAUUGUAGUCGACCAUUGUCGACUCAAGUUAUAUCCUGAACAAGAUUUUGUGGAGGAUGAAGUGGUUUCCAUUCCAAGGUUAAUAAAAAAUUAUUUUAUUAACUUGUGAUUAUUUGUGAGUUUUUAUGUGAUAUUUUUGUUUAAUACCCUUUUACUGUAUUUUUCUUUUCUCAUAUUUCCACACACAGUGUAAUUGCUUGGUUAAACCAAGUAGUUCUUAGAAUGAAUAAGAAAACUUGAAUCUACUUGGCCAUAUUUGGCUACAGAAGAAGUUUUGGGGAUGAAUGGAAAAAACUUGAAUCUUAUGAGCUUGGAAAAGACAUGGAAAAGUUAAAUCAUUUACAUCAUUUUUAUACGGUGUUUAGUUUUUUUUACUUUAAUUCUUUUCCUUAAUUUUGGUUUUGUUUUUGAAUUUGUUAGGAGUAUUGUUUCUUGAUCGUUGGAGUGGGUACGAAAGAACAUAUUCACUCGAAUUUCUUGAGAUUUCAAAACGGACUGUCAUAUGAACAGUAGUCUUUAAUACUUAGCUUUUGAUUUUUAUCAUAUAACUUUUUGGCAAUUUAUUAUUAUUAUUUUGUUAUGUUUGAUUAAUUGUAGCCAAACCGCAUUGUUUAACUCAGUUCAUCCUGAACAAAGGAAUUUUGUGGAUAAUUUUUGUAGUUUUUUUUAUGCACUAUUUUCAUUUAAUUUACUUUUUUAUAACGAGUUAUUUGGAUAAGCAUGGCGAUGAUGUAGCUACCACUUUGAAGAAUCAACAUUCUUGUGGUUCCAAAAGGAAAAAAAUUCUUAAGUAUGAAGGAUCGCAAAAUGAAAACUCCUCUAUGAAAUUUUCUGCAGUUAUAAUUCAUGUGCUUCAAAAUUUUAUAUUACCGAUUAACUUCUUUAUUUGUUCGAAAAAUUUAUAGUUAAUUUUGAACUAUUUUCUUUUUUUUAACAGAAUGAUGAACUUGAGGGUCUUCCCUAGAAGAAUCAUUGGAUUGAGUAAUGUUUUUUAUUUUAUUUUUCAUUGUGGUUCUAUAUUGAUAUUGAUUGAGUAAAGUUUUUUUUUGCAUUUUAUGUUUUUUUAAUUAAAAUACGUUAUACCAUUCCAUACACACAAUAAAAUAACAGAUUUUGACAAACUGAAAUUUAUCCAAUAAAAGUAACUAAUUCAAGACGAGUAACUACCAAUAACUGAAUUUAAGUUACUAAAAUUUAGUAAUAGAAAUUGUGGGUUUGGUUGUGAUAUUUCUGUUUAAAUUCCAUUUUUUUGAAAUGAUUUGUUUGAUAAGCAGGGUGUAGUGGCUAAUUUGAACAAUCAAAUACUGCGGUUGCAAAAGGAAAAUCAAAAACUUAAGAUGAAGGUCCAAAAGCGAGCUCUAUAAUUUUCUGCGCAUUUUUCAUGUCUUCAAUUUUUAUUUUUAGCAUUUACUGUUAUUUUGAACUGUUUAUAGUUAUUUUGAAAUAUUUCAUUUUUUUACAGAAUGAUGAACUUGAGGCUCUUCUCUAGAAGAAUCAUUGGAUUGAGUAAAGUUUUUUAUUUUAUUUUGCAUUGUGGUUGUAUAUUGUUAUUGAUUGAGUAAAGUUUUUUCUUAAUUUGUAUAUGUUUUUAAUUAAAAUGUGUUAUACCGUUCCUUACAAACAAGGAAUGUAGAAUACCAGAUUUUAAUAAUAAAAUAACAGAUUUUGAUAAACUGAAAUUUUUCCAAUAAAUUUAACUAACUCGAGAUAACUAAUUACCCAUAAGAAAAUUUAACUAACUGAAAUCUUAUAAAAAAAAUAACAAACUAACUCAAUUGUUUAUCUGUAAGGUUGGCUUCAGAACUUGUUAUUCUGGAUUCUCAUUUCUAGACCCUUUUACUAUUUUUAUGUUCUUCAUCUUGCACACACUGUGUAACUUGCUUAACUAACCAACUAGUUCUUGGAAUGAAGACCAUAAAACUUGUAUCUACUGAGCCACAUUUGACUACUGAAGAAGUUUUGGGGAUGAAUGGAACAAAACUUAAAUCUGUUGAGGUUGGAAAAGAAAUGGAAAAGGUAAAUCAUUUUGAUCUUAUAUUUAAUAUGGUAUUUAGUCUUUUGCUAUAAUUCUUUUUCCUUAAUUUAGUAUUUGUUUUUUGAUUUGUUAGAGUAUUGUUUUUGAUCGUUUAAGUUGGACGAAGAACAUAUGCACCGAAUUUCUUAAGAUUUCAAAAGGAGCUGAUGAAGUAGUCUUUUAAUUGAACUUUUGAUAUUUAUAUUAAUUUUUUUUCAAUUUAUUUACUGAAUUUUGAUUGUUUGAUAUUGUAUCCAACCACUGUUGAUGAAGUUCCAAAAGUGAACUCUAUAAUUUUCUACAUAUUUUUCAGUUCGUCAAUUUUUAAUUUAGCAUUUAGUGUUAUUUUGAACUGUUUGUAGUUAAUUUGAAAUAUUUCAUUUUUUUACAGAAUGAUAAACUUGAGGCUCUUCCCUAGAAGAAUCAUUGGAUUGAGUAAAGUUUUUUAUUUUAUUUUGUAUUGUGGUUGUAUAUAAUUAUUGAUUGAGUAAAAAAAAUUGUGUUGUUCGUGUAUUUCAUUAAAAUGUGUUAUACCAUUCCUUACACACAAGGAAUGUAGAAUAACAUAUUUUAAUAAUAAAAUAUCAGAUUUUUAGUAACUUAAAUUUAUCCAAUAAAAUCACUUAACUCAAGAAAAGUAAAUGCCCAUCGAAUUUAACUAACUGAAAUCAGAUAAAAAACUAACAAACUAACUCAAUUGUUUAUCUAUAAGUAUUGGCUUCAGAACUUGUUAUUCUAGAUUCUCAUUUCUAGACACUUUUACUGAUUUUCAUUGGAUUAAGUAAAGUUUUUUAUUUUAUAUUGCAUUGUGGUUGUAUAUUGAUAUUGUUUGAGUAAACUUUUUUAUUUUAUUUUUGUGUUGUAUGUGUAUUUAAUUAAAAUGUCUUAUACCAUUCCUUACCCACAAGGAAUGUAGAAUAACAGAUUUUAAAAAUAAAAUAAUAGAUAAUGACAAACUAUAAUUUAUCCAAUAAAAUUAACUAACAUAAGAUAAGUAACUGUCCAUAACCGAAUUUAACUAACUAAAAUUUGAUAAUAAAAACUAACAAACUAACUCAAUUAUUUGUUUAUAAGUAUUGGCUUCAGAACUUGUUAUUCUAAAUUCUCAUUUCUAGACUUAUUUACUGUAUUUUCUUUUCUUCAUCUUGCACACCCAGUGUAAUUUUCUUAGCUAACCAAUUAGUUCUUAGAAUGAUUACCAGAAAACAUGAAUUUACUGAGCCACAUUUGGCUACUGAAGAAGUUUCGGGGAUGAAUGGAACAAAACUUGAAUCAGUUGAGCUUCAAAAAGAAAUGGAAAAGGUAAAUCAAUUUAAUAUAUUUUUUAAUAUGGUGUUUUUUUUGCUAUAAAUCUUUUUCCUUACAUUUGAAUUUGUGUUUUGACUUGUUGGAUUAUUGUUCUUGAUCGUUGUAGUGGGACGAAGAACAUAUUCACUAAAUUUCUUGAGAUUUCAAAAGGAGUUUAUGAAGUAGUCUUUUAAUUCUGCUUUUGUUUUUACAUUAACUUUUUUUUUCAAUUUAUUUACUUAAUUUUUUUAUGUUUGAAAUUGUAGCCGACCAUUGAUGAUCAAGUUAUCCUUAAAAGAAUUUUGUGGAGGAUGAAGUGGUUUCCCUUCCAAAGGUUAAUGAAAAUUUACUUUAUUAACUUUUGAUUAUUUUGUGAAUUUUUUUGUGAUAUUUCCAUUUAAUUUACUUUUUUUUAAACGAUUUGUUUGAUAAGCAUGGUGUAGUAGCUGAUUUGAAGAAUCAAAUUAUGCGUUUGCAAAAGGAAAAUCAAAUUCAUAAGAUGAAGGUCCGAAAAUGAACUUUAUAAUUUUAUGCGUAUAAUUCAUGUCUUCAAAUUUUAUAUUAGCAUUUACUGUUAUUUCGAAAAUUUUAUAGUUAUUUUGAAAUAUUUCUUUUUUUUACAGAAUGAUGAACUUGAGGGUCUUCCCUAGAAGAAUCAUUGGAUUGAGUAAAGUUUUUUAUUUUAUUUUGCAUUGUGGUUGUAUAUUUAUAUUGUUUGAGUAAAGUUUUUUUUACAUUGCAUGUGUAUUUAAUUAAAAUGUUCUAUACCAUUCCUUACACACAAGUAGUGUAGAAUAACAGAUUUUAACAAUAAAAUAAUAGACUUUGACAAAUUGAAUGUUAUCUAGAAAAAUUAACUAACUCAAGAUAAGUAACUACCCGUAAACGAAUUUCACUAACUGAAAUCUGAUAAUAAAAACUAACAAACUAACUCAAUUGUUAAUCAUAAGUAUUGGCUUCAGAACUUGUUAUAUUAAAUUAUCAUUUCUAGACCCUUUUAUUGUGUUUUCUUUUCUUCAUCUUGCACACACAGUGUAAUUUUCUUAGCUAACCAAGUAGUUCUAGGAAUGAAAACCAGAAUACUUAAAUCUACUGAGCCAUAUUUCGCAACUGAAGAAGUUUCCGGGAUGAAUCGAUUAAAACUUUAAUUUGUUGAGCUUGGAAAAGAAAUGGAAAAUGUAAAUCAAUUUAAUCGUUUUUUUUAAUAUGGUGUUUAGUUUUUGGCUAUAAUUCUUUUUGCUUAAUUUUGAAUUUGGUUUUUGAUUUGUUAGAGUACUGUUCUUGAUCAUUGGAUUGGGACAAAGAACAUAUUCACCAAAUUUCUUGAGAUUUCAAAAGGAGAUGAUGAAGUAGUCUUUUAAUUCUGCUUUUGAUUUUUAUAUUAAUUUUUUUACAAUUUAUUUACUUAAUUUUGUUAUGUUUAAUAUUGUAGCCGACCAUUGUUGAUCAAGUUAUCCUGAACUAGAAUUUUGUGGAGGAUGAAGUCGUUUCCCUUCCAAAGUUUAACAAAAAUUUAUUUUAUUAAUUUUAAUUAUUUUGUGAGAUUUAUUAUGAUAUUUCUAUUUAAUUUCCUUUUCUUUCGAAAUGAUUAUUUGAUAAGCAGGGUGUCGUAGCUGAUUUGAAGAAUCAAUUACUGCGUUUGCAAAAGGAAAAUCAAAUACUUAAGAUGAAGGUUCAAAAGUGAGAUCUAUAAUUUUCUACACCUUUUUCAUGAGUUCAAUUUUUUAUUUUAUCAUUUAUUGUUAUUUAGAACUAUUUGUAGUUAUUUUGAAAUCUUUCAUUUUUUUUACAGAAUGAUGAACUUAUAAAGUAGUCUUCUAAUUCUGCUUUUGAUUUUUAUAUUAAUUUUUUUCAUUUUAUUUACUUAAUUUUGUUAUGUUUGAUGUUGAAGCCGAUAAUUGAUGAUCAAGUUAUCCUGACAAGAACUUUUGUUAUAUUAAAUUUACUUUUUUUUAAAUGAUUUGUUUGAUGAGUUGGGUGUAGUAGCUGAUUUGAAGAAUCAAAUAUUACGGUUGCAAAAGGAAAAUCAAAUUCUUAAGAUGAAGGUCCAAAAGUGAACUCUAUAAUUUUCUGCGUAUCUUACAUGUCUUCAAAUUGUAUAUUAGCAUUUACAGUUAUUUUGAAAGUUUUGUAGUUAUUUUGAAUUUAUUUUUUUUACAGAAUGAUGAACUUGCGGCUCAACCCUAGAAUAAUCAUUGGAUUGAGAAAGUUUUUUAUUUUAUUUUGCAUUGUGGUUGUAUAUUGAUAUUGAUUGAGUAAAGUUUUUUUUCCUUGUAUAUGUAUUUAAUUUAGAUAUUCUUACCAUUCCUUACACACAAGGAAUGUAGAGUAACAUAUUUUAACAAUAAAAUAACAGAUUUUGACAAACAGAAAUUUAUCCAAUAAAAUUAACUAACUCAAGAUAAGUAACUGCCCAUAACUGAAUUUAACUAACUGAAAUAUGAUUAAAAAAAACUAAUAAACUAACUCAAUUGUUUAUCUAUAAGUAUUGGCUUCAGAACUUGUUAUUCUGAAUUCUCAUUUCUAGAUCCUUUUACUGCAUUUUCUUUUCUUCAUCUUGCCCACACAGUGUAAUUGGCUUGGCUAACUAAGUAGUUCUUAGAAUGAAUACCAUAAAACUUGAAUCAACUGAGCCAAAUUUUGCUACUGAAGAUGAUUUUGGGAUGAAUGAAACAAAACUUGAAUCUGAUGAGCUUGGAAAAUAAAUGGAAAAGGUAAAUCAAUUUAAUCUUUUUUUAAUAUGGUGUUUAGUUUUAUGCUAUAAUUCUUUUUCCUUAAUUUUGAAUUUGAUUUUUGAGUUGUUAGAGUAUUGUUCUUGAUCGUUGGAGUGGGACGAAGAACAUGUUCAUCGAAUUUCUUGAGAUUUCAAAAGGAGAUGAUGAAAUAGUCUUUUAAUUCUGCUUUUGAUUUUUAUAUUAAUUUUUUGCAAUUUAUUUACUUAAUUUUGUUAUGUUUCAUAUUGUAGCCGACCAUUGCUGAUCAAGUUAUCCUGAACUAAAAUUUUGUGGAGGAUGAAGUGGUUUCCCUUCCAAAGGUUAACAACAAUUUAUUUUAUUAAUUUUGAUUAUUUUGUGAGUUUUGUUUUGAUAUUUCUGUUUAAUUUCCUUCUUUUUGAAAGGAUUUGUUUGAUAAGAAGGGUGAAGUAGCUCAUUUGAAGAAUCAAAUACUGCGGUUGCAAAAGGAAAAUCAAAUACUUAGGAUGAAGGUCCAAAAUUGAGCUUUAUAAGUUCCUACGCAUUUUUCAUGUCUUCAAUUUUUAUUUUAGCAUUUGCUAUUAUUUUGAAUUGUUUGUAGUUAUUUUGAAAUAUUUCUUUUUUUUACAGAAUUAUGAACUUAAGGCUCUUCUCUAUAAGAAUCAUUUGAUUGAGUAAAGUUUUUUCUUUUAUUUUGAAUUGUGGUUGUAUGUUACUAUUGUUAAAGUAAAAAAAAAUUACGUUGUAUGUGCGUUUUAUAAUAAUGUCCUAUACCAUUCCUUACACACAAGGAAUUUAGAAUAAUAGAUUUUAACCAUAAAAUGACAAAUUUUGACAAACAGAAAUUUAUCCAAUAAAGUUAACUAACUCAAUAUAAGUAACUACCCAUAAUCGAAUUUAACUAACUGAAAUCUGAUAAUAAAUACUAACUAACUAACUCAAUUGAUAUUCUAAAUUCUCAUUUCUAAACCCUUUUACUGUAUUAUCGUUUCUUCAUCUUGCACACACAGUGUAAUUUGCGUGGCUAACCAAGUAAUUCUUGGAAUGAAUACCAGAAAACUUGAAUCUACUGAGCCAUAUUUGGCUACUGAAGAAGUUUCAGGGAUGAAAGGAACAAAACUUGAAUCUAUUAAGCAUGGAAAAGGUAAAUAAAUUUAAUCUUUUUUUAUAUGGUGUUUAGUUUUUUGUUAUAAUUCUUUUUCCUUAAUUUUGAAUUUGUUUCUUGAUUUGUUAGAGUAUUGUUCUUGAUCGUUUGAGUGGGACAAAGACCAUAUUCACCGAAUUUCUUCCGAUUUCAAAAGCAGAUGAGGAAGUAGACUUUUAAUUCUGCUUUUUUAUUUUUAUAUUAAUUAUUUUGCAAUUUAUUUACCUAAUUUUGUUAUGUUUGAUAUUGUAGCCAACCAUUGUUGAUCAAGUUAUCCUAUACAAGAAUUUUGUGGAGGAUGAAGUAGUUUCCCUUUCAAAGGAUAAUGAAAAAUUAUUUUAUAAACUUUUGAUUAUUUUGUUGUUAUAAUUUUGUUUAAAUUCAUUUUUUAAAAUGAUUUGUUUGAUAAGCAGGGUGUUGUAGCUGGUUUGAAGCAUCAAAAUCAAAUUCUUAAGAUGAUGGUCCAAAAGUGAACUCUAUAAUUUUUUGUGUAUUUUUGAUGUCUUCAAUUUUAAUUUUAGCAUUUACUGUUAUUUUGAACUGUUUGUAGUUAUUUUUAAAUAUUUCUUUUUUUUUUAAAUGAUGAACUUGAGGCUCUUCCCUAGAAAAAUCAUUGGAUUAAAUAAAGUUUGUUAUUUUAUUUUGCAUUGUGGUUGUAUAUUGAUAUUGAUUGAGUAAAAAAAUUUAUUUUAUUUUUGCGUUGUAUGUGUAUUUAAUUAAAAUGUGCUAUACCAUUCCUUACACACAAGGAAUGUAGAAUACCGGAUUUUAACAAUAAAAUGACAGAUUAUGACAAACUGAAAGUUACCCAUUAAAAUUAACAAACUCAAGAUAAGUAACUGCCCAUAACCGAUUUUAACUAAUUGAAAUCUGAUAAAAAACCUAAUAAACUUACGCAAUUGUUUAUCUUUAAGUAUUGGUUUCAGAACUUGUUAUUAUGAAUUCUCAAUUCUAGACCCUUUUACUGUAUUUUCUUUUCUUCAUCUUGCACACAUAGUGUAAUUUGUUUGGAUAACCAGUUAGUUCUUGGAAUGAAUACCAGAAAACUUGAAUCUCUUGAGCAACAUUUGACUAUUGAAGAAGUUUAGGGGAUGAAUGGAACAAAACUCGAAUCUGUUGAGUUGGAAAAGAAAUGGAAAACGUAAAUAAAUUUAAUAUUUUUUUAAUACGGUGUUUAGUUUUUGCUAUAAUCCUUUUUCCUUAAUUUUGAAUUUGUUUUUUGAUUUGUUAGAGUAUUGUUAUUAAUCGUUUGAGUGGGACGAAGAACAUAUUCACCAAAUUUCUUGAGAUUUCAAAAGGAGAUGAUGAAGUAGUCAUUUAAUUCUGCUUUUGAUGUUUAUAUUAAUUUUUUGCAACUUAUUUACUUAAUUUUCUUAUGUUUGAUAUUGUAGCCAACCAUUGAUGAUCAAGUUAUCUUGAAUAAGAAUUUUGUGAAGGAUGAAGUAGUAUCCCAUUCAAAGGUUAAUGAAAAUUUAUUUUAUUAAGUUUUGAUUAUUUUGUUGUGAUAUUUCUGUUUGAUUUCCUUUUUGUUGAAAUGAUUUGUUUGAUAAGCAGGGUAUAGUAGCUUAUUUGAAGAAUCAAAUACUGCGGUUGCAAAAGGAAAAUCAAAUUCUUAAGAUGAAGGACCAAAAGUGCGCUCUAUAAUUUUCUGCACACUUUUCAUGUCUUCAAUUUUUAUUUGAGCAUUUAAUGUUAUUUCGAACUGUUUGUAGUUAUUUUUAAACAUCUCCUUUUUUUUACAAAAUUAUGAACUUGAGGCUCUUCCCUAGAAGAAUUAUUGGAUUAAGUAAAGUUUUUAUUUUAUUUUUCAUUGUGGUUGUAUAUUGAUAUUGUUUGAGUAAAGUUUUUUUUGUUUGCGUUGUAUGUGUAUUUAUUAAAAAUGUGUUAUUCCAUUCCCUACACACAUGGAAUGUAGAAUAACAGAUUUUGACAAACUGAAUGUUAUCUAAUAAAACUAAAUAACUCAAGAUAAGUAACAUCUCAUAACCGAAUUUAACUAACUGAAAUCUGAUAAUAAAAAGUAACAAACUAAAUCAAUUAUUUAUCUAAUAGUAUUGGCUUCGGAACUUGUUAUUCUAAAUUCUCAUUUCUAGACAGUUUUACUGUAUUUUCUUUUCUUCAUCUUGCACACAAAGUGUAAUGUGUUUGGCUAACCAAUUAGUUCUUGGAAUGAAUUGAAUCUAUUGAGCCACAUUUGGUUACUGGGGAAGUUUCAGGGACGAAUGGAACAAAACUUGAAUUUGUUGAGCUUGGAAAAGAAAUGGAAAAGGUAAAUUAAUUUAAUCUUUUAUUUAAUAUGGAGUUUUGUUUUUUCUAUAAUUCUUUUUCCUUUAUUUUGAAUUUGUUUUUUGAUUUGUUAGACUAUUGUUCUUGAUCGUUGGAGUGGGACGAAGAACUUUAUCAUUGAAUUUCUUGAGAUUUCAAAAGGAGAUGAUGAAGUUGUCUUUUAAUUCUUCUUUUGAUUUUGAUAUUAAUUUAUCGGAAAAUUAUUUACUUAAUUUUGUUAUGUUUGAUAUUGUAGCCAACCAUUACUGAUCAAGUUAUCCUGAACAAGAAUUUUGUGGAGGAUGAAGUGGUUUCCCUUCCAAAUGUUAAUGAAAAUUCAUUUUAACAACUUUUUAGUAUUUUGCGAGUUUUGUAUUAUAUUUCUGUUUAGUUUCCUUUUUUUAAAUGAUUUGUUUGAUAAGCAGGGUGUAGUAGCUGAUUUUAAGAAUCAAACACUGUGGUCGCAAAAGGAAAAUCAAAUACUUAAGAUUAAGGUCCAAAAGUGAGCUCUAUAAUUUUCUGCGCAUUUUCCAUGUCUUCAAUUUUUAUUUUAGCAUUUACUGUUAUUUUGAAUUUUUUGUAGUUAUUUUGAAAUAUUUUCUUUUUUUACAAAAUGAUGAACAUGAGGCUCUUUCCUAGAAGAAUAAUUUGAUUGACUAACGUAUUUUAUCUUAUUUUGCAUUAUGGUUGUAUACUGAUAUUGAUUGAGUAAGGGUUUUUUUUUGUUGUAUGUGUAUUUGAUUAAAAUGUGUUAUACCAUUCAUUACACACAAGGAAUAUAGAAUACCGUAUUUUAAUAAUAAAAUGACAGAUUUUGACAAACUGAAAUUUAUCCAAUAAAAUUAACUAACUCAAGAUAAGUAACUGCCCAUAAGAAAAAUUAACUAACUGAAAUCUGAUAAAAAAACUAACAAACGAACUCAAUUGUUUAUCUGUAAGCUUGGCUUCAGAACUUAUUAUUCUAGAUUCUCAUUUCUAAACCCUUUUAUUGUAUUUUAUGUUCUUCAUCUUGCACACACGGUGUAACUUGCUGGGCUAACCAAGUAGUUCUUGGAAUGAAGACUAGAAAACUUGAAUCUACUAAGCCACAUUUAACUAUUGAAGAAGUUUUGGGGAUGAAUGGAACAAAACUUGAAUUUGUUGAGCUUGGAAAAUAAAUGGAAAAGGUAAAUCAAUUUGAUCUUUUUUUAAUAUUCUGUUUAGUUUUUUCCUAUAAUUCUUUUUCCUUAAUUUUGUAUUUGUUUUUUGAUUUGUUAGAGUAUUGUUCUUGAUCGUUUAAGUUGGACGAAGAACAUAUUCACCGAAUUUCUUGAGAUUUAAAAAGGAGAUGAUGAAGUAUUCUUUUAAUUCUACUUUUGAUUUUUAUAUUAAUUUUUUUUCAAUUUAUUUACUUAAUUUUGUUAUCUUUGAUAUUGUAGCCAACCAUUGUUGAUCAAGUUAUCCUGAACAAGAAUUUUGUGGAGGAUGAAGUGGUUUUCCUUCCAAAGGUUAAUGAAAAUUUAUUUUAUUAACUUUUGAUUAUUUUGUGAGUUUUGUUGUGAUAUUCCUGUUUAAUUUACUUUUUUUGAAAUGAUUUGUUUGAUAAGUUGGGUGUAGUAGUGUAUUUGAAGAAUAAAAUACCGUGGUGGCAAAAGGAAAAUCAAAUUCUUAAGAUGAAGGUAUAAAAGUGAACAGUAUAAUUUUAUGUGUAUUUUUCAUGUCUUAAAUUGUUAUUUUCGCAUUUACUGUUAUUUCGAACUAUUUGUAGUUAUUUUGAAAUAUUUCUUUUUUUUAUAGAAUGAUGAACUUGAGGCUCUUCCCUUGAAUAAUCAGUGGAUUGAAUAAUGUUUUUUGUUUUAUUUUGCAUUGUGGUUGUAUAUUGAUAUUGAUUGAGUAAAGUUUUUUUUUGCGUUGUAUGUGUAUUUAAUUAAAAUGUGUUAUACCAUUCCUUACACAUAAGGAAUGUAGAAUAACACAUUUUAACAAUAAAAUAACAGAUUUUGACAAACUGAAACCUAUUCAAUAAAAUUACUAACUCAAGAUAAGUAACUGCCCAUAACCGAAUUUAACUAACUGAAAUCUGAUAAAAAAAUUAACAAACUAACUCAAUUGUUUCUCUAUAAGUAUUAGCUUCAAAACUAGUUAUUCUAAAUUCUCAUUUAUAGACCCUUUUAUUGUAUUUUCUUUUCAUCAUCUUGCACACAUAAUGUAAUUUUCUUGGCUAACCAAGUAAUUCUUAGAAUGAAUACUAGAAAACUUGAAUCUAUUGAGCCACAUUUGGCUACUGAAGAAGUUUUGGGGAUAAAUGGAACAAAACUUGAAUUUGUUGAGCUUGGAAAAGAAAUGGAAAAGGUAAAUUAAUUUAAUCUUUUUUUAAAUAUGGUGUUUAGUUUUUUCUAUCAUUCUUUCUCUUUAAUUUUGAAUUUGUUUUUUGAUUUAUUAGAGUAUUGUUCUUGAUCGUUGGAGUGGGACAAAGAACAUAUUCAAAAGGAGCUGAUGAAGUAGUUUUUUAAUUCUACUUUUAAUUUUUAUAUUAACUUUUUUGCAAUUUAUUUACUUAAUUUUGUUAUGUUUGAUAUUGUAGCCAACGAAUACUGAUCAAGUUAUCCUGAACUAGAAUUUUGUGGAGGAUGAAGUGGUUUUCCUUCCAAUAGCUAAUGAAUAUUUAUUUUAUUAACUUUUGAUUAUUUUGUGAGUUUUUUUGUGAUAUUUCUAUUUGAUUUCCUUUUUUUUAAAUGAUUUAUUUGAUAAGUAUGGUGUAGUAGCUGAUUUGAAGAAUCAAAUAUUGCGGUUGUAAAAUGAAAAUCAAAUUCAAAAGAUUUUGACAAACUGAAAUAAUUUUUUCAUGUCUUCAAUUUUUAAUUUUGCAUUUACUGUUAUUUUGAACUGUUUGAGUUAUUAACAGAUUUGACAAACUGAAAUUUAUCCAAUAAAGUUAACUAACUCAAGAUAAGUAAUUUCCCAUAACCGAAUUUAACAAACUGAAAUUUGAUAAAAAAAACUUACAAACUAACUCAAUUGUUUAUCUAUAAGUAUUGGCUUCAGAACUUGUUAUUCUGAAUUCUCAUUUCUAGAGCCUUUUAUGGUAUUUUAUUUUCUUCAUCUUGCACACACGGUGUAAUUUGCUUGACUAACCAAGUAGUUCUUGAAAUGAAUACUAGAAAACUUGAAUCUACUAAGUCACAUUUGACUAUUGAAGACGUUUCAGGGAUGAAUGGAACAAAACUUGAAUAUGUUGAACUUGGAAAAGAAAUGGAAAAGGUAAAUCAAUUUAAUCUUUAUUUUAAUAUGGUGUUUCAUUUUUUGCUAUAAUUCUUUUUCCUUUAUUUUGAAUGUGUUUUUUGAUUUGUUAGAGUAUUGUUCUUGAACAUUUGAGUGGGACGAAAGAAAUAUUCACCAAAUUUCUUGAGAUUUCAAAAGGAGAUGAUGAAGUAGUCUUUUAAUUAUGCUUUUUAUUUUUAUAUUAACUUUUUGCAAUUUAUUUGCUUAAUUUUGUUAUAUUUGAUAUUGUAGCCAACCAUUGUUGAUCAAGUUAUCCAGAACAAAGAAUUUUGUGGAGGAUGAAGUGAUUUCCCUUCCAAGGGUUAUGGGAAAUUUAUUUUAUUAACUUUUGAAUAUUUUGAGAGUGUUGUUGUGAUAUUUCUGAUUAAUUUCCUUUUCUUUUGAAGAAUCAAAUAUUGUUGUUGCAAAACGAAAAUCAAAUUCUUAAGAUGAAGAUCCAAAACUGAACUCUAUUACUUUCUGCGUAUUUUUCAUGUCUACAAUUUUUAUUUUAGUAUUUACUGUUAUUUUGAACUAUUUAUAGUUAUUUUGAAUUUUUAUUUUUUACAGAAUGAUGAACUUGAGGUUCUUCCCUAGAAGAAUCAUUGGAUUGAGUAAAGUUUUUUAUUUUAUUUUGCAUUGUGGUUGUAUAUUGAUAUUAUUUGAGUAAAAAAAAUUAUUUUUAUUUUCUAAUUUGUAUGUGUAUUUAAUUAAAAUGUGUUAUACCAUUCCUUACACACAAGGAAUGUAGAAAAACAGAUUUUGACAAUAAAAUAAUAGAUUUUGACAAACUGAAAUUUAUCCAAUAAAAUUAACUAACUCAAGAUAAGUAACUGCUCAUAAUCGAAUUUAACUAAUUGAAAUCUGAUAAAAUAACUAACAAACUAACUCAAUUAUUUAUCUAUAAGUAUUGGCUUCAGAACUUGUUAUUCUGAAUUCUCUUUUCUAGAACCUUUUACUGUAUUUUCUUUUCUUCAUCUUGCACACAUAGUGUAACUGUCUUGGCUAACCAAGUAGUUCUUUGAAUGAAUACCCGAAAACUUGAAUCUACUAAGACACAUUUGGCUACUGAAGAAGUUUUGGGGGAUGAUUGGAACAAAACUUAAAUUUGUUGAACUUGGAAAAGAAAUGGAAAAGGUAAAUCAAUUUAAUCUUUUUUUUAAUAUGGUGUUUAGUUUUUUCCUAUAAUCCUUUUUCCUUAAUUUUGAAUUAGCUUUUUGAUUUGUUAGAGUAUUGUUCUUGAUCUUUGGAGUAGGACAAAGAACAUAUUCACCAAAUUUCAUGAGAUUUCUAAAAGGGCUGAUGAAGUAGUCUUUAUAUUCUGCUUUUUAUUUUUAUGUUAAUUUUUUUGCAAUUUAUUUUCUUAAUUUUAUUAUGUUUGAUAUUGUAGCUAACUAUUGUUGAUCAAGUUAUCCUGAACAACAAUUUUGUGGAGGAUGAAGUGGUUUCCCUUCCAAAGGUUAAUGAAAUUUUAUUUUAUUAACUUUUGAUUAUUUUGUGAGUUUUGUUGUGAUAUUUCUAUUUAAUUUCCAUUUUUUGAAAUGAUUUGUUUGAUAAGUUGUGUGUAGUAGUGUAUUUGAAUAGUAAAAUACCGUGGUUGCAAAAGGAAAAUCAAAUUCUUAAGAUGAAGGUCCAAAAGUGAACUCUAUAAUUUUUUUUGUGUAUUUUUCAUGUCUUCAAUUGUUAUUUUAGCAUUUACUUUUAUUUCAAACUGUUUGUAGUUAUUAAAAUUACAGAACCAAUUCUACUAGAAUUCCUUAAAUCCAAAUUACUUAUUCUUUUCCUCAACAUAUACCUCUUUCAACCAAUCCCUUUAGAGCUUGCGUUGUUAUAUAAUGCUUGUUCUCUCUUCAACAUGAAUCCAUUUCAACUGAUACUUGGGAAAUCCAACAUUUCCAUAAAGGUCUCUCACUGAAUAUUGAAUCUCAACGAACCAUCCUAAAUUUGAUUUCCCUUCUAAGACUGGGUAUACAUGGUUUAUCUUCUACUUUUUGACUGAUGCAUACGUGUUCCACUUGGGGUAGACAAUCAUAUCAUCGAACCUCUUCUUGUAAUUCACCACUACUUUAGACCCUUACAAAGAUGUUUAACUUCCCUACCUCUCGAACCCUUAACCUUUUGGAAGAUACCAUUCUGACCAAUUCCCUGAAAUACUCAUGUUCUCCCAAGAUGUCCUAUGACCUUAGAAGCUGAAACUCCGAUACGUUACUUCACUUCCAGACCUUAUGUCAUACAUGCAACAAAAUCGUCCUUUCUCUUUCACUGUAUGGAAUUACUUAUAAUACUUAUUCCAUACGAACGGGACAAUCUUGUUCCACUAACAGAUUCAUACAUUUCUCAAAGUUCUGACAAAUUCAUCCAAAAAGGAUUUCUCAACUUCCUAAUCACACCCACACUACAGGAUUGCUUGAACCAUACACCUCUCUUUAAUUAUAAAUUACCCAAAUCACAAGACCUACUGAAACUUCAACUAAGAUAUUUGGUUCGCCUUACUUUAUAACUCUUGGCUCGAGCCUACCCUCAGAGCACAAGUUCCACCAAUACUUCGGACUCCUCGAGGUCGCUCAAUCAUAAUCCAACCUACCACCCACAUAGAAUUAGGUUGAUCAGGCCCAAUACUACAUACAUGGAUAUUAAGAAUUAUGUUGGCUAAACACACUCGUGAGGCAGGAAUAGAUUUACUUAUGAUGUUUCAAGGCUAGGUCGAGAAUCGACCUUCUCUGAUACCAACUAUAACAACCCGUAUAAUAUAUAUCUAGAAUAAUAUUGUACAAGUGUUAUUAUUUGAUACUGACACAAUCAUAAGUGCCUAUUAGCAUCAUUAUAUACACAUGUCUAAACUAAAAACGUCAAAUAGACAUGUCAUACAAUAAAGCCUAAGAAUAAAAUCUAAUAAUUAUGUACAAUAUCUUUAUUAUACACAACUCCACAGUGGAAGAUCAUAAUAAUCAGUAUCCCUGAAACAUCAGUAGACAGCUCCUCAUGAAUUCAACCUGUACGGUAUACUUGAAAAAUAACAACGAUAGUGGGAUGAGAUAAUAAUCUCAGUGAGUUCUCUUAUCCUAUGGGUCCACUCGGCUCUACAGAGUUUCUACUCGAUUCUAACUCAAGUACUCACCUUCCGUUACUUGUGCAUCACUCGCACCUUGUAACUAGAACUUGAGUAACUAAGGGAUAAUCGCAAUGUAUGGAAGCAUGUCAAUUGAGUUCACAUAACUCAAUAAAUCACUAUUCAGAUUCACGAAACAUCAAUCCCAGAAGAAACUUACAUCUAAUCCAAGCUCGGUUCACGUAUGCUCGUAUCAUUAGACUUUCACCGUCGAUAUUGGGUCCUCUAUGAGGCUUAAUCCUCAGUUCAAGCGACUGUCACCCGUAUGGGCCUCUAACCCACUUAGGUUAUCUUUCACCGUAUGGGCCUCUAACCCACUUAGGUGUCCACCUUUCCCCCAUAUCCUCCAUGGUUGGGGAUCAAACCCAAUUGAGGCACGAAUCAUUGGUGCCACAUCCCCACUUACUGCUUUACCUAAGCCCUUGAAGUGGUAUGUGCACAAUCACAACUAAUUCCGAAUAGGUGAUUAAUUCUCAACAACUUAAAUCUACUAAGCCAUAUUUGGCUACUUAAAAAGUUUUGGGGAUGAAUGGAACAAAACUUAAAUCUGUUGAGCUUGGAAAAGAAAUGGAAAAGGUAAAUCAAUUUAAUGUUAUUUUAAUAUGGUGUUUAGUUUUUUGCUAUAAUUAUUUUGGUUACUUAAGUACCCAAUUGAGGCACGAAUCAUUCGUGCCACAUCCCCACUUACCGCUUUACCUAAGCCCUUGAAGUGGUAUGUGCACAAUCACAACUAAUUUCGAAUACGUGAUUAAUUCUCAACAACAAAUAGGACUUUUGGAACAAAUGUUCCUCACCAAAUAUCAAACAAUUCUAAUGAUAUCAUAUCAAUUAUCAUGGUAUUCAUUAAAUACUAGGUGUUCAUACCCACUUAUUCACAUAUUAUUCCACAUGUUCCAUACAAAGCAUAUUGAUUCAUAAUCAAGCGAAUACUUGUUCGCGAUACACACCGAGGUAUCAUUGCGUCCAAGCAUCACCGUAUACUCAGUUUCAUAACCUAGAUUAUCUUUCUAACUUAUUAAUCAAGUUAUAUCCCUAGGUUUUCUCAGUCAUCUUUAUAGGGUUUUAAAACAUGUUAUUUCACAUUCAACACGACAACAAUUUUCAACAUUCAUUAUAAUAUAAUUCAUAGCAUUUGUAAGGCACAUAAUAUACUAUAACAUGGUACAAGAAUAAUAGUAUUUUAUAUUAUCUUUCUAAUGCAUCCAUCCGCAUCCAAAACGGAGUUACAAAACUCGAAUAAUCUAACAAUUUAACUUAGUCAAGAAUAUAUGUUAAAACUUAUUCCUUGCACAAAUAUUCAACAACAAGAGCCUAGCCUAGUGGUAAAGUUUUCACCAUACCAAGGAGGCCUCAGGUUCAAACUCCAUUGGUGGCAUGUUUUAAUUUUCCAAGGAAUUAAUCCAUGUCAAUUGAUUUACAAAAAGGAGCAAUCGAUUGAAUGUGGGUAAUUCUCACAAAAAAGAAAUAAACCAAUCUCAACAUAUUUGUUCAUAUCCAAAAACCAAAUCCACUUACAAUAUCACUAACACACAUCAUUAAACACCAUACAACAUAUAUGUUAUUGUUUCCCCAAGCCCAUGAUUCUUAUGUCAAACAACAACAUCAUUAAAUCACUAGCAUACAACCAACAUAUGAAACACAUAUAACAUCACCAUCAUCCAUGGAGGUUUUCAUGAUGAAGAUAGCAAACUCAUCAUAUUAUCCUUAAUCAUUCUAACUAUUUUAUGGUUUAUCAAAACCCUAACUAUUACAUUUAAAAAUUCUAACUAGAACUCACCUCGUGAUUGGUGAAGACGGUGAGAAGAAGAAGAGAUGAUGUUGGUGAAGAUGAUGAUCCUCCAUGGUUUGUUUCCUCUUUUUCCUCCAAAGCUUUUCUCUCCCUCUUUCUUUCUUCCUUUCUGUUCUCUUCUUUCCCUUCUUCUCUUUCUGAUAUCUCUACUCUCCUUCUUAUCCACUCCUUCUUUUCUUUUCCACCAUAUAAUAUAUAUAUAUAUAUAUAUAUANNNNNNNNNNNNNNNNNNNNNNNNNNNNNNNNNNNNNNNNNNNNNNNNNNNNNNNNNNNNNNNNNNNNNNNNNNNNNNNNNNNNNNNNNNNNNNNNAAAUUAAACAAGAAAUAUCACAACAAAACUCAAAUAAUAAAAGUUAAUAAUAAUUUUCAUUAACCUUUGGAAGGAAACACUUCUCCUCCAAAAAAUCUUGUUAAGGAUAACUUAAUCAGAAUAUUGACUACAUAGCAACAUAACAAAAUUAAGUAAAUAAUGCAAAAAUAUUAAUAUAAAAUCAAAAGCGGAAUUAAAAGACAAAUUCUGAGCUCGUUUUGAAAUCUCAAGAAAUUCUACGAAUAUGUUCUACAUCCUCACCAACGAUCAAGAACAAUACACUAACAAUCAAAAAUCAAAUUCAAAAUAGGAAAAGAAUUAUAGCAAAAAACUAAACACCAUAUUAAAAACAGAUAUUGAUUUACCUUUUCCAUUCUUUCCAAGCUCAGAAUUCAAGUUUUGUUCCGUCAUCCCAAAAUUCUACAGUAGCAAUGUGCAUAUAGUUCAAGUUUUCUGUAUUCUUGCAUAAUUAUUUGGUUGCCAAGCAAAUACAUGUGUGUGCAGAUGAAAAGAAAAUAUAGUAAAGGGUCUACAAAUGAGAAUUUAGCCAAGUUCUGAGCCAAUACUAUAGAUAAAAAUUGAGUUAGUUGUUAGUUUUUUAUCAGAUUUUAGUUGUUAAAUUCGUUAUGGGCAUUACAUAUUUGAGUUAGUUAAUUUAUUGAUAAAUUUUGUUGUCAAAAUCGUUACUUUUUGUUAUAAUGUUAUUCUACUCUCUCCUAGUGUGUAAGAUGGAUAGCACAUUUAUUAAAUAACAUCAACACAAAAAACUUUACUCAUCAAUAUCAAUAUCAACCGCAACAAUUCAAUGAAAACGUUCUCAAUCCAAUGAUUCUUCUAGGAUACCUCAAGUUAUCUUCUGUAAAUAAUGAAAUAUUCAAAAUAAUAACAAGUUCAAAAUAAUGUUAAUGCUAAAAUAAAAUUAAAGACAGGAAAAUACCCAAAAUUUAUGAGUUCACUUUGGACCUUCAUCUAAGAAUUGGUUCUCCUUUUCAACAUAGUAUUUGUUCUUCAAAUCAUCUACUACACCUGCUUACCAACCAAAUCAUUUCAACAAAAAGGAAUUAAACAGAAUAUCACAACAAAACUCAGAAAAUAUCAAAAUAAUAAAAAAUUUUUAUACCUUUGAAGGGAAUUAUACUAUCCCUAUCCCUAAAUCUCAUUAGUUGUCAGUUGAAACAAUUGAGUUCAUAUGUACUCUAUCUUUGUCGUUGGAAAUUAAGGCUUUUAUGUCUCUAAAAGUUGUCAUUGAGACCAAUAGACGUAACUAGUGACUCUGAAGAGAUUGACCUGUAGAGAAGAUGUAUACAAUAAGUAUAAGAAGAAUAUUUGGUAACAUUAAUAUGGUCAUUGUACUAGAAGAUAAAAAUACUUGAGGAUAUUUGUUUAUUAGAUAAUAUAUAUAUAUAUUAUAAUAUAUAUAUAUAUAUAUAUAUAUAUAUAUAAUAAGAUGAAGGUCCAAAAGUGAAGUCUAUAAUUUUUUUGCGUAUUUUUCAUGUCUUUAAUUUUUAUUUUAGCAUCAAUUGUUAUUUUGAACUGUUUGUAGUUAUUUUGAAAUAUUUCUUUUAUUUACAAAAUGAUGAACUUGAGGCUAUUCCUAGAAGAAUCAUUGGAUUGAGUAAUGUUUUUUAUUUGAUUUUGCAUUGCGGUUGUAUAUUGAUAUUGAUUGAGUAAAGUUUUUUUUGUGUUGUAUGUGUAUUUAAUUAAAAUGUGUUAUACCAUUCCUUACACACUAGGAACGUAGAAUAACCUAUUUUAAAAAUAAAGUAACAGAUUUUGACAAACUAAAACUUAUCCAAUAAAAUUAACUAACUCAAGAUAAGUAACUGCCCAUAACCGAAUUUAACAAACUGAUAUCUGAUAAAAAAACUAACAAACUGACUAAAUUGUUUAUCUAUAAGUAUGGCUUCAGAACUUGGUAUUCUAAAUUCUCAUUUGUAGACCCUAUUACUAUAUUUUCUUUUCUUCAUCUUGCACACACAGUGUAAUUUGCUUGGCUAACCAAGUAAUUAUUGCAAUGAAUACCAGAAAACUUGAAUCUAUUAAGCCACAUUUGGCUACUGUAGAAAUUUUGGGAUGAACAGAACAAAACUUGAAUUUCUUGAGCUUGGAAAAGAAAUGGAAAAGGUAAAUCAAUUUAAUCUUUUUUUUAAUACGGUGUUUAGUUUUUUGCUAUAAUUCUUUUUCCUUAAUUUUGAAUUUGAUUUUUGAUUUGUUAGUGUAUUGUUCUUGAUCGUUGGAGUGGGAUGUAGAACAUAUUCGUAGAAUUUCUUGAGAUUUCAAAUUGAUUUGUUAGUGUAUUGUUCUUGAUCGUUGGAGUGGGAUGUAGAACAUAUUCGUAGAAUUUCUUGAGAUUUCAAAACGAGCUCAUGAAUUUGUCUUUUAAUUCCGCUUUUGAUUUUUAUAUUAAUUUUUUGGCAAUUUAUUUACUUAAUUUUGUUAUGUUUGAUAUUGUAGUCAACCAUUGCUGAUUUAGUUAUCCUUAACAAGAUUUUUUUGGAGGAGGAAGUGGUUUCCCUUCCAAAGGUUAAUGAAAAUUUAUUUUAUUAACUUUUGAUUAUUUUCUGAGUUUUGAUGUGAUAUUUCUGUUUAAUUUCCUUUUUUUUGUUGAAAUGAUUUGAUUGAUAAGCAGGGUGUAGUAGCUGAUUUGAAGAAUCAAAUACUGUGUUUGCAAAAGGAGAACCAAAUUCUUAAGAUGAAGGUCCAAAAGUGAACUAUAUAAUUUUUUUUCGUAUUUUUCAUGUCUUUAAUUUUUAUUUUAGCAUUAACUGUUAUUUUGAACUGUUUGUAGUUAUUUUGAAAUAUUUCUUUUAUUUACAGAAUGAUGAACUUGAGGCUAUUCCUAAAAGAAUCAUUGGAUUGAGUAACGUUUUUUAUUUAAUUUUGCAUUGCGGUUGUAUAUUGAUAUUGAUUGAGUAAAGUUUUUUUUGUGUUGUAUGUGUAUUUAAUUAAAAUGUGUUAUACCAUUCCUUACAGACUAGGAAUGUAGAAUAACAUAUUUUAACAAUAAAGUAACAGAUUUUGACAAACUGAAAUUUAUCCAAUAAAAUUAACUAGCUCAAGAUAAGUAACUGCCCAUAACCGAAUUUAACUAACUGAAAUCUGAUAAAAUACUAACAAACUAACUCAAUUGUUUAUCUAUAAGUAUUGACUUCAGAACUUGUUAUUCUAAAUUCUCAUUUGUAGACCCUUUUACUAUAUUUUCUUUUCUUCAUCUUGCACACACAGUGUAAUUUGCUUGGCUAACCAAGUAAUUAUUGCAAUGAAUACCAGAAAACUUGAAUCUAUUGAGCCACAUUUGACUACUAUAGAAGUUUUGGGAAUGAAUGGAACAAAACUUGAAUUUCUUGAGCUUGGAAAAGAAAUGGAAAAGGUAAAUCAAUUAAUCUGUUUUUUUAAUAUGGUGUUUAGUUUUUUGCUAUAAUUCUUUUUCCUUAAUUUUGAAUUUGAUUUUUGAUUUCUUAGUGUAUUGUUCUUGAUCGUUGGAGUGGGAUGUAGAACAUAUUCAUAGACUUUCUUGAGAUUUCAAAACGAGCUCAUGAAUUUGUCUUUUAAUUCCGCUUUUGGUUUUUAUAUUAACUUUUUUGCAAUUUAUUUACUUAAUUUUGUUAUGUUUGAUAUUGUGGUCAACCAUUGUUGAUUAAGUUAUCCUGAACAAGAUUUUUUUGGAGCAGGAAAUGGUUUCCCUUCCCAAGGUUAACGAAAAUUUAUUUUAUUAACUUUUGAUUAUUUUCUUAGUUUUGUUGUGAUAUUUCUGUUUAAUUUCCUUUUUGUUGUUGAAAUGAUUUGUUUGAUAAGUAGGGUGUAGUAGAUUAUUUGAAGAAUCAAAUACUAUGUUUGCAAAAGGUGAACCAAAUUCUUAAUAUGAAGGUCCAAAAGUGAACUCUAUAAUUUUUUUGCGUAUUUUUCAUGUCUUUAAUUUUUAUUUUAGCCUUAACUAUUAUUUUGAACUGUUUGUAGUUAUUUUGAAAUAUUUCUUUUAUUUACAGAAUGAUGAACUUGAGGUUAUUCCUAGAAGAGUCAUUGGAUUGAAAAAUGUUUUUUAUUUAAUUUUGCGUUCCGGUUGUAUAUUGAUAUUGAUUGAGUAAAUUUUUUUCUUGCUUUGUACGCGUAUUUAAUUAAAAUGUGUUAUACCAUUCCUUACACACUAGGAACGUAGAAUAACAUAUUUUAACAAUAAAGUAACAAAUUUUGACUAAGUGAAAUUUAUCCAAUAAAAUUAACUAACUCAAGAUAAGUAACGGCCCAUAAUAGAAUAUAACUAACUGAAAUAUGAUUAAAAAAACUAACAAACUAACUCAAUUGUUUAUCUAUAAGUAUUGGCUUCAGAACUUGUUAUUCUAAAUUCUCAUUUCUAAACCCUUUUACUAUAUUUUCUCUUCUUCAUCUUGCACACACAGUGUAAUUUGCUUGGCUAACCAAGUAAUUAUUGCAAUGAAUACCAGAAAACUUGAAUCUAUUGAGCCACAUUUGGCUACCGUAGAAGUUUUGGGAAUGAACGGAACAAAACUUGAAUUUCUUGAGAUUGGAAAAGAAAUGGAAAAGGUAAAUCAAUUUAAUCUCUUUUUUUAAUAUGGUGUUUUGUUUUUUGCUAUAAUUCUUUUUCCUUAAUUUUGAAUUUGAUUUUUGACUUGUUAGUGUAUUGUUCUUGAUCGUUGGAGUGGGACGUAGAACAAAUUCAUAGAAUUUCUUGAGAUUUCAAAAUGAGAUCAUGAAUUUGUGUUUUAAUUCCGCUUUUGAUUUUUAUAUUAAUUUUUUUGCAAUUUAUUUACUUAAUUUUGUUAUGUUUGAUAUUGUAGUCAACCAUUGCUGAUUAAGUUAUCCUUAACAAGAUUUUUUUGGAGGAGGAAGUGGUUUCCCUUCCAAAAGUUAAUGAAAAUUUAUUUUAUUAACUUUUGAUUAUUUUCUGAGUUUUAUUGUGAUAUUUCUGUUUAAUUUCCUUUUUUUUUGAAAUGAUUUGUUUGAUAAGCAGGGUGUAGUAGCUGAUUUGAAGAAUCAAAUACUGUGGUUGCAAAAGAAGAACCAAAUUCUUAAGAUGAAGGUCCAAAAGUGAAGUCUAUAAUUUUUUUGCGUAUUUUUCAUGUCUUUAAUUUUUAUUUUAGCAUCAAUUGUUAUUUUGAACUGUUUGUAGUUAUUUUGAAAUAUUUCUUUUAUUUACAGAAUGAUGAACUUGAGGCUAUUCCUAGAAGAAUCAUUGGAUUGAGUAAUGUUUUUUAUUUAAUUUUGCGUUGUGGUUGUAUAUUGAUAUUGAUUGAGUAAAAUGUGUUAUACCAUUCCUUACACACAAGGAACGUAGAAUAACAUAUUUUAACAAUAAUGUAAUAAAUUUUAACAAACUGAAAUUUAUCCAAUAAAAUUAACUAACUCACGAUAAGUAAUUGCCCAUAAUAGAAGUUAAUUAACUCAAAUGUGAUAAAAAAGCUAACAAACUAACUCAAUUGUUUAUCUAUAAGUAUUGGCUUCAGAACUUGUUAUUCUAAAUUCUCAUUUCUAGACCUGUUUACUGUAUUUUCUUUUCUUCAUCUGUCACACACAUUAUAAUUUUCUUGGCUAACCAAAUAGUUCUUGGAAUCCAUACCAGAAAACUUGAAUCUAUUGAGCCACAUUUGGCUACUAAAGAAGUUUUAGGGAUGAAUGGAACAAAACUUGAAUAUGUUGAGCUUGGAAAAGAAAUGGAAAAGGUAAAUCAAUUUAAUCUUUUUUUUCUAAUAUGGUGUUUAGUUUUUUGCUAUAAUUAUUUUUCCUUAAUUUUGAAUUUGUUUUUUUAUUUGUUAGAGUAUUGUUCUUGAUCGUUGGAGUGGGAUGAAUAGCAUAUUCACCGAAUUUCUUGAGAUUACAAAAGGAGCGGAUGAAGUAGUUUUUUAAUUCUACUUUUUAAUUGUUAUAUUAUUUAUUUUUUUUCAAUUUAUUUAUUUAAUUUUGUUAUGUUUGAUAUUGUAGCCGACCAUUGUUGAUCAAGUUAUCCUGAACAAGAAUUUUGUGGAGGAUGAAGUGGUUUCCCUUCCAAAGGUUAAUGAAAAUUUAUUUUAUUAACUUUUGAUUAUUUUAUGAGUUUUGUUGUGAUAUUUUUGUUCAAUUUCCUUUUUUUUGAAAUGAUUUGUUUGAUAAGCAUGAUGUAGUAGCUGAUUUGAAGAAUCAAAUACUAUGAUUGCAAAAGGAAACUAAAAUUCUUAAGAUGAAGGUCCAAAAGUGAACUCUAUAAUUUUCUGCGUAUUUUUCAUGUCUUCAAUUGUUAUUUUAGCAUUUACUGUUAUUUCGAACUGUUUGUAAUUAUUUUGAAUUUUCUUUUCUUACAUAAUGAUGAACUUGAGGCUCUUCCGAAAAGUCGUUUGAGUCCUUUUUCUGUUGUUUUUCUGGUUUGGUAAAUAUAGUUAGAAAGAAGUUUGUUACAUAUGAUGCUUCGAAGUUCUAUGGAGCAGGUAUACAAAAUCUUGGAAGUACUUAUUUUAUGGGCUCUGUGCUUCAGGCCUCGAGCCACACUGUUUUGUUCCUCUUUUAAUGGCAAUUUUGGAUUAUUGUCAUACCCCUCUUAACUGUAAGGCCUUUAAUAUUUUUUUUCUUUAUUUCAAGUUUAAAAAGUUUUGAAAUUUAAGAUAUUUGUAUUCUGAAAUGAAAACUUGUGUUUUACUCCCAGGUUCUAUUCACGGGUUUUGUAUUGUUUGUUCAUUUAGAAGACACAUUAUCAAAUCAAUGGAUGGUUAUGGAAACUCCAUUAUCC
rnacentral:lncRNA from 1 species